rnacentral:lncRNA from 1 species
AUUGAUAUUUUUUACUUCCGACACAUAUAUAUACACUACAACAGAAUUAGGUUAUAGGGACACAUGUUUAGGACACUUUUGAGUAAGUGUCCCAUUUAUGCUAAAACUUAAAGAAACAUCUACUAAUGCCUAAAUAUAAAGCCCAAUUCAACCAAAAAUAAAAGAUUACUCUACUCAACCCACCACACCCAGUCCAUUUGGCCCGAUUACAAAUAAAAAAGAAAAAAAAAAGAAAAAUCAAUUACCAUAUUUUCUUCUCUCUUCACUCAAUCCACUGAAAUUCUAGACGAAGAGUCAUUCCUGUCGUCCUCCUCCGCCACCGCAACCAACGAAAUAGAGUUUCGGCGGUUGCUAAAUGCUUAAAUAAGUUGUUGGUAAAUUAGGAGCACUCUUUUAGGUUAUAGCGACAUUCUUUAACUGUCACUAUAUACCUAGCGACCCCACAUAUAGCAACACUUUUUAAAAGUGUCGGUAAUUUUAGCUAGCAGCACUUUUUUGACAUGUACCUAUAUUUAAAAGUGUCGCUAUAGACCGUUUUUGUUGUAGUGAUAUCAUUAAUCUUCAAUAAUGAUUCUUUAAUUAUAGAACGGAAACAACGAAUACUACCAGGGAUGUUCGAAUUUGAUGAUUCAUGCUUCAAACUUCGUGCUACAAACUAAAUGUUUCAGAAAAUAAAAAUAAUAUAAAGUAAUAUAAAAAUAUAAUAAAAAAACUAAAAUCGUAUCCUAUAUAUCUACAAUUAAAAUGGCCACGUCUUAAAUUGUCUUCAUUAGUUAAUUGAUGAUUUGGAUUUGACGUUAACUUAUAUCAAAUAAGAUCUUCUUUUCUUAUUUUAAUGCAAUAACAAGAAGUGUAUGCAUGUGGAAAUAUAACUAAUUAAUGAGCAUCCAAAGUUAACAAAAUGGCUAGAUAAAUUGAUUUGCUUGAGAGGAUACUAAUUUAUUAUGGUAAAAAGAAAAUCUAAUAUAUAAUUUCUAUUUUAGAAUUUAUAAAAAUUUAUUUUCUAAUUUUGGAUAUCAUAAAAACUUGUUAUGUGGAUGGUUCUAGGGGCUAUGAAAUGCCAUUUUAUUAUUUCAAAAGUUUUGGAUGGGGACAAGUGAAGAGCAUCAAUAGUUGCUAAAAACCAAUAUAUAUAUAAGAAUAAGUUAUGGAUAAAUUACUUAAACCCUUGAAGGAAUAAAUUAGUGAUUAAUGAUUGUAGACUAAUUAGAGGGAUUCAUAAUUAAUUAUGCUAAUGAGUACAAUUAAUAGCUGAGUUGGUUUCACAUUUUAUUUUAUUUUAUUUUAUUUUUUUGGAUGUUAUCACCACAAGAGGUUUCCAGAAACAAAUUAAGAUGUACAUUGUCAUCUCUUUUAGCCCUAUCAUUCCUUAACACACAACACCUUUCAUAGAUGAUGUGUCCAUUUCUCAUUGGUUAGCUAACUCUAAAUAGGGUUAAUAGAAUUUCCAUCAAUAAUUUUUGCAUUUAAGUUCAUAAUAAUUUUUUUAAUAAUAAUUAAGUUAAGUUUCUAGCUUUUAGAAAUAGUCACCUGCCAAGAUUUAAUACUGAUAAUGCUAAAAUAUUAUUUGGUGCUGAUGCAGCAUUUUUCAUUAGAGUCAAUAAUUAUUAAUGAUUUAUAUCUAAUUUAAAAAAGUGAAAAUUUUAAGGACUAAAGUAAAUAAUUGGGUAAAAGCUUUUGAUACCAAUGGUUUAUUUAACUCCAAGUUUUUAAAAAGUUUCUAAACUUUAUUACUAUUUUUUAAUUGAAACCCCUCCAUUUUGACUUAGAAAAAGUGACCAACUUUAAGUAAAUAAUUUAAGGAUUUUAUUUUUCACUAUUUUUUCCAUAAUUUGACUUCGGCGUGAGAUCAUUCACUAAAGCCAAUUAUGCUAUUUUUGAUAGUUCGAGAUUCAACGAAAAAUAAAAUUAUGAUGAGCCAAACAAUAAAAAAUUAACAUUUAUUGUCGAACACAACUUUACCCGCUCUCAUCAAAUUAAGAAUGUUGUCUCAUCAAAAGUUAACAUUAACUAUAAGGAGGGUUAUUUGAGAAUGGCCUAUAGGUGAGUGGUCUCCAUUCAUUUGGGGAAAUACAUAGAAGUAAAAAAACAUAAAAAAUUUAUUCGAAUUUUGGGCUAUUUUUAAUCGGAUAUUCGAUCUUUAAAAAUUUUGAUUUUACAGCCCAAUCUUUCAAUUCGUUUGAUUUAAAUUAGCCAACAAUAUUUUAACUUUAAAAUUUAAACUACUUAUUUAUUUUAAUAAUUAUUUAUUUUAAUAAAUUUACAGUUACAAAAAUUACAUAAAAUAUACUAAUUAAAUCUGUAAAGAUAAAUGAAGCAUUUAAAUAUUGAAGUCAAAGUGCCGUUGACUGACUCAACCCAAACAAAUUAUAAGAUUGGGUAAUUAAUCAAAAUUUUAAAAGAUCGGAUAACUAGUUCAAAAUAGUCCAUAAUUUAAAUAAAUUCGAUACAAUUUUACCUAAAUAAAAAAAUUUUAUAAUAGCUUUAAUUAUGCCUAUAAUCUAGAGAAUACCGUCGGAUCAUUAGCGCUACCCAUUAAUUUAAAAAACUCGAAUUUUUUUUUCUUUUGAGAGAUAGGUAGCAUGCUACCCGCUUCGUUUAUUUCAUUUAGAAAUAAACUUAGCUGGAAAUGUGAAUGAACUAGGAUUUAAACUUGGGUCUCGGAUACCAACCAUCAAGCCAUUUGCCACUUACUCUAGGGAUAGUUGGUUAAAAAAAAAAAAAAAAAAAAAAAACUCGAAUUGUUAGAAGUAUACGAGCAAUUUAUUUAAAAUAUAUAGACUGGAUUAUGAUUCAGCCCAAUAAGCCUCACGCCACAUUUUCGAACAUGACUUGGUCUAUAUCAAUCUUCUGUUAUUUACAAAAUGAUUUGAUCCAAUAUGAUCUUCCGUCGCAUGGCAGAAUACUGAUCUCUUUAAACCAACCGGUUCCUCUUUCUCUUUCUCUGUACAUUUUUACCGGUAAAUAAUUUUUUUUUAAAAAAACUGGUUUGAUUAUCAAAGAAUGGUGUUUGGUACAACAACCGGAGCAGCGGAUCCCGGAGCAGGAACAGCACAUCACGAGUGUCAGCCCCGCUCCUCCUCCCAAUCCACAGAGACCACGAGCGCUGUCGCCAAUCAGGGUGGGACACGUGGCGCUCGGACAGCGCUCUGGCGGGGAUGCUGAGCUGUCAUCGGCGCCAAAAUGGCGCGAACGACGAGGAAACCUUAUCUCUCUAAUAAUUCGCACCCCCUCCCCCUCUCUUUCCCUUUUUUUUUUUUUUUUUAGUUUUUCCUUUUUUUUAAUUUCCGAAAGCGAAUUGACGAAAAUACCCUCCUCCCCCAAUUUUUUUUAAUUUUGAAAAAAAAAAUCCCCACGAUUCUCACGUCCAACUACCCGCCACCGGUUACCGGCUACUCCCGGUCGCCGGUCUCCCUCGCGCGGGUAUUUAUACGUAGACAGCUACCUCUAUUCUCUUCAAUUCCUCUAUUCUCUUCAAUUCCACCUGCAGUAGUUGCGGUAAACGUUCUUUUUUUUUUUUCUUUUUUAGGAGAGGGUUGUCUGCAUAGAGUAGAGGAGAGGAGAGGAUACAGAAAUGCCGAUCUCUCGGAUCGCAAUCGGGAGCUACGAUGAGGCGUACCACCCGGGCGCCCUCAAGGCGGCGCUCGCCGAGUUCAUCUCCACCCUCAUCUUCGUCUUCGCCGGCCAGGGCUCCGGCAUGGCCUUCAGUACGUCCCCAUCCUCCUCCUGCUCCUUAACUAAUUCGUACUACUUAUUUUCUAUUAUUACUGAUGUGCUGAUUUAUACUGUAAACACGCUUACUUGCAUGUCGACAUAUGUAUACCGCCAUGACCAAGCAGCAGCGUGCAAACCCAUAUUUUUGGGGUAUAUAUAUAAAUAGCAGUUUUUACAGUAGUUAUAUAAAGCCAAGCAUGAAGCUCCUAAAUUAGUUAAACGUGUAAUUAUAACUUGGUGUGACUCUCAAGCGAAGCGUGUGCUAACUCUUUUUUAAAAAACUUAUUGUUAUUUUUAAAAUUAUGUAAAAAUCAUUAAUUUUGGUUAUUUAUUUAUUUAUUUAUUUUUGGUGAGAUAUAUAUAUACAAGUAGCUAGCUUAAUAAUUUGUUCGCUUGUUCUUCAUGUAAGCCCAUUUUCUUUUUUUUCGUUUUUGUUUUUCAUUUUUUUGUUUUUUUUUUUUUUUGUCGGUACGUUUUGCGGAGCUAGUGACUGGCUGAAGUGUUAACAGGCACUCUAUAUAUGUUGGAAUCUAGUGUGCCUACGUCAUUUUCCCUUGAGAAAUUUCACAAAUUUUAACAAUAAGAAAAAUAAAAAAGAUUGUUGAAAAAUACAUUAUUCUUCAUAUUUGGAUGAAUCCCAAAGAUUUACAAUAUAUAUAUAUAUAUAUAUAUAAUAUAAUAAAAUUAGUACAUAUAGCAGUUGCUUAAAUAUAAAAAAAUAAAAAAAUUGUCUUGAGGUCCGUGUACAACGUUUUUUUUUUUUUUUUCAAAAAUAAGUAGCAUACUAUUUAUUUUAUUUAGAAAUUUCUAAAUUUUAGCUGAAAAUGUGAAUCAAUUAGGAUUCGAACUUGAGAUCUCAGUACCGACCAUAACCUUUUUGCCACUUGCUCUAGGCACGGUCGGUAUGGUAGUUGUUUCAUAUAAUUUAACGGGUAUUCUGAUGGGCGGCUGCAGGCAAACUAACGGGCGGGGGUGCGACGACGCCGGCGGGGCUGAUCGCGGCGGCGAUCGCGCACGGGUUCGGGCUGUUCGUGGCGGUGUCGGUGGGCGCGAACAUCUCGGGCGGGCACGUGAACCCGGCGGUGACGUUCGGGGCGUUCGUGGGGGGGAACAUCACGCUGCUGCGCGGCGUGCUGUACUGGAUCGCGCAGCUGCUGGGGUCGACGGUGGCCUGCCUGCUGCUGCGCUUCUCGACGGGCGGGCUGGCCACGGGGACCUUCGGGCUGUCGGGCGUGGGCGCGGGGGAGGCGCUGGUGAUGGAGAUCGUCAUGACCUUCGGCCUCGUCUACACCGUCUACGCCACGGCCAUCGACCCCAAGCGGGGCAGCCUCGGCACCAUCGCCCCGAUCGCCAUCGGCUUCAUAGUCGGCGCCAACAUCCUCCUGGGCGGCGCCUUCACGGGGGCGUCCAUGAACCCGGCCGUGUCCUUCGGGCCCGCGCUCGUCAGCUGGUCCUGGGCCUACCAGUGGGUCUACUGGGUCGGCCCGCUCAUUGGCGGCGCCAUCGCCGCCAUCGUCUACGACGUCUUCUUCAUCACCCCCAACUACGAGCAGAUCCCCCCGCCCGACUACUGAUCAUCGAUCAUCACCCCACAGCCCCCAGCCAAGCCGCCUCCUUUCCAUGCAUAAAAUUCUCGAUCCUUGCAUGCAGUACUCGUCGUUAAUUUCCUGUUUUUUCUUAAUGAAUCUAUCUCGUGCAUGGUUUAAUUCUGUUGUUCGAUCGGUGGUGGUGGUGUAUUGAUUUCGAGUCUUUCUUUCUCAGUCAUCUUCUUUUAUUUCCGAUCGAUCAUUCGUGGUCGUCGUCGAUGUCGUCUACUCCUGCUCUUUGUUCAUAAUGCUGAGUUGAGUUUCUGCUGCUGCUUCUGUUGAACCUUGGAAAAAAGAGCUUUAAAAAAAAAGAGUUUUUUUUCUCACUCUCUCUCUCUCUCUCUCUCCUCUGUUUUUUCUUUUUUUUUUCCCCAUUGAGUAUCAUAAUAAUAAUAAUAAUAAUAAUAUUAUUAUUAUUAUUAUUAGGUUAAAUUAAAGAAAAAUUUAUUAUAAAUAUUUAAUUUUUUUAUUUUUUUAUUCUAAUUUUUAAAAAUUUAUAUUCUACCUCUCAACAUUUCAAGUUAUUGUCCUUCAAAAUAAUAAAAAUAUAUAAAAAAUUACUUUUUUAUAUAAAAAAAGAUUAUUUGAUUAUUUUGACCUCUCUGUUUUAACAUCGUAAAAAUAUUUUUAAAAUUUUUAAAAAAUAAAAUAUAAAUUUUUAAAAAAUAAAAAAAUAAAAAAAUAAAUAUUUAUAAGAAUUUUUUUUUAUAAUUUAAUCUUAUUAUCAUUAUUGAAAGGAAACCAUAUUUGGUUAUUAUUAUUAUUUAGAGCAUUGCUAGAUCUAUUACAGCUAGUCCAUCUCAGGACUAGUUUUGUUUUUUACACUUUUUUUUGUCAGGUUAAAUGCAUACACCCCCAAAACUUUAGCCCCUUUGGAAACUGAUUUUUUUGAACUUUUUUCUAUUUGAUUUACACUCACACAAUUUAUAAUUUUAAAUAAGUUUGAAAUUAUGCAUUAGAAUAGCACUAUUCCAUCAAAAUGGUGGAAUAGCAAAUUUCUCGCUAUUUCGAAAUAACCAUGUUGAUACCAAAAAAUUAACACACGCCGACCUAACCCACGUAUGAGUCAAAUAAAUAAGGACACGUGGUGCAUCAGGAGUCGACAAUAAGGCGCCUGAAGGUCAAGAGCAUUUAGACGGGAACGGUCGAGAAAUGAGGUGUAACUUCCAUGAGAAGUGGGGUGUAACUUCUAAGAUCAUGUCUACACCACUUCCCCCACUACUAAAAACCGACCAAUAAUGUGGGCUGAGAAGACAUCACUAUAAAUAGUAACUUCAAAGACUGUAAUAUGGGUCUUUCUCCCCCUUGAACGGGAAGACUACCGCAUUUUCAAUACUUUUCUUUCCUACACUUAUCGUUUUCUAGGAGUAGUUUACAUGUAAUUAUUUUUAUCCGCAUUUACUGCUUUUAUAGGAGUAGUUUUAAAGUUAGAUCUCUGGAGUUUGUAUACCCCACAGGCACACUCUGUUGUAAUCUAGAUUUUCAGAGUCUGUAUGCCUUUCAGGCACACUCUGCUUUAUUAAUAUAUAAAGACAUUCGGCUCUUUCAACGGAUCAGUCACUGUGUAUUCCAUAUAUUCAGCUCAUCAGCCGACCCAAAAUCUUGUGCAUUCUGUACAUUCGGCUCUUCUAGCCGAACCGAGUCUAUAGUAAAGGUCUUCGAACUCGGCUGAUCCGAUCCCUCGUCAGCCGAAUCGCUUGAUCCAGUCAAAGGGCGCAAACUUCGAGGGUCACCAUCCGAAGCCGUUUUUCAUCCUGACACGCUCCCCGAUGAGGAUCUUUGACCGAAUAAAGAGUUAGAGAAUUCGGCUAGCAACAAACCGGGAAUAGCAAGAUUUGAUCGGAAUAAAAUAUUCCUGCCAAAUUUCAUCCUGUUUGGCGGAAUAGCGGGAAUAACUUUUGUUAUCCCCGCUUAUCCUCCGAACCAAACGGGGCCUUAGAGAUUCUAUUACAACCAAAUACUCGCAAGAGAUGCAUGUUCUUAAGAAUUAUUUUAUAAAAAAGAAAAGCUAAAUUACAAAAAAUCCUCCUGUAAUAACCCGCUUUUUCACUUUUCCCCCCUGACAUUUAAAAACCUACACUUUGCCCCCCUGUAAAAUGAAAAAUGUUCACAGGGGAGUUACGGUGUGUAAAAUGACCAUUUUGGCCCUCGCCAUUGUCGUCUUCUUCCCCAUCUUCCUCAGCCGCCCCUUCGUUUGGCCGCGAUUCCCACCUCAAUCGGCCGCGAUUUCUCUCCAUUUUCUUCUCCACCUGCUCCCCUUCUCCUCCUGCACCCUCGCCGCCCUCGAUUUCGCCGACAUUAGGAGAAAACCGAGGUGGGCGACGGUAGGAGAAGGGCAAAGAAGGCGAAGGCGAGGCGGCAGAGGAUGGCGAAGGGGAUGUGGGUGAGGGCGAGGCAGUGGAGGACGGCGAGGCGGCUAGGCGGCGAGGCGGCGAGGCGGCGGCGAGGUCGCGAGCCGGAGGGAGGCGAAGCAACAGGGAGAUGGUGGAGGAGUAUUUUCAGCAUAAAAAUAUAUUUUUUAACGUAACCCUAAUGGUAGGGGGUGAAGUGCACAUUUUUUAUUUUACAGGGGGGCCAAGUGUAGGUUUUUAAAUGUCAGGGAGGAAAAGUGAAAAAACGAGUUAUUAUAAGGGGGUUUUCUGUAAUUUAGCCAAAAAGAAAUGAUAUUCAUCUCUCGUAAGCGUUAGAUAUAUUCCAACAAAAAUUACAAAAUUACUUAAGAAAGAUCUAAUUCAGAUAUCUAAAUCAAAAGAUCUAGAAAAAGUGUAAAUCAAAAAAAUGUAAAUCAAAUAAAAAAAAUUUAGAGGAUCAAUUUCGAAGCAGGUUAAAGUUAAGGAGUGUCUAUACAUUAUAAUCUUAUUAAGGGAUAAUAUCUAUCUAAUAUACUUUUCGAAACUUUAAAAAUAUUUAAUAUAUUCCUAGUUGAUCAAAAUACUCUUAUUAAUUUUAAAAAUUUUCUCCAAAUAUCUUCAAACUCUUAGAGUUUACUACUUGAAUUUGAUGUUUGCACAAAUUUCAUCAAAUUUUAGAUUUAUUUUAUUAAGUAAGAUCCAUAAAAUUUCAUCAAUUUUUCUUAGAAUUUAAUGUUUGCACACAUUUUUAAUGUUUUCACACAUUUUUCUUUACAUGUUUCUGCCUCAUUUUCAUUACCGUCAAUUUUUUUUUGAAAAAAAUGAUAAAAUUAAUAACAACAAAAAAAAAGAGAAACUACUACAGCUCCUUAAAGUGGCCGACCAACACUCGAGUUAUAAUUAGUAAAGAUAUUCGUACAUAUUGACUUGUUCAACUCUGUCCUAUUUUUAAUUUGAUGAACUACACCUAAUGAAUGAGGACACUUUUUUUUUGUUUUUGUUUUGCUUUUUUUUUUUUUUUUUUUUUUUUUUAAUUGACACAUGGGGACACAAAUAGAGCUAAAGGUGUCCGGAGUGUACUAGCAAAUAAAAAGGUAAAAAUUUAAUAGGGAUAUUAAAUUUUCUUUAUUUAAAUGUUUGUAUUAUUACCCUAAUUAAUCAUUAAAAAAAAACUAAUAUAAGGACGCUUUUUAGACCACGUAAUAUAACAAAUAUUGACGCUUCAAAAAGCGUCGUCAUAUAAACCCUCCAUUAUAUCAAAUAAUUUAUUAAAUAAUAAAUUUUACUAUUAUUUUUAGUUUUUCGACGUUUUAAAGCGUCAGAAUUUUUAAAAAUUCUGACAUUUCACGGUAUCAAAAUAUAUUUUAUUGGCGCUUUGUAGUAACCCUGGAAUUCAGCAUUUGAGACUUGUCGACAGCUUUGGAGAGUGUCGAGACAAGUCCGAGUACUAUUGGUACGAAAUAGACGCAAACUGGACUCAGCGGGACGCGAGAGUAGGAAGUUAGCAUUGUAAUCUGCAAAUCGCAGAUUUUCAGCAAUUGGUACCGGUACCACACAGGGGCGUAUCGGUACCCAGUGCAUUUUUCUGCACAGACUGCUCUCAGGUCGGCUAUUCUACUGCGUGGUACCGGUACAGCAUUGGUUUGGUACCAGUACACCAGGGUAAGUGAGGGGCUGUUUGUUCUUUUGGCUGCCUCGUUGUUCUCAUCCUUACCUACUUCCUUAUAUAUAUGUGGGAGAGCUGAGAGGAAAGUUUCUUGCUGUUCUUCUUCUCCUCUCUCUCUCUAGCUUGGACCGUACGUGGAGAAGCUCUCGGGUUGAGUCGGAUUGACGCCGACGUCGCGCCGCGGUGCCGUUCGAGCGUGCGUUCGUCGUGGUAGGGGAGGCCGGGCGAGCGUGUGGUUCCGCUUCUGUUGACUUCUCGCCGUAGUUAGACGCACUUUCGAGGUGGGUCAAAAUGAUGCUUACCGAAUUCUACGGGUUUCCUUCUAAUUCUAUAUAUGUCGACAGCAUGUGUUUUUAGCUUUGUUUAGUACAUGGUUUAGCUCGAUUUUCGGAACUGCAUGCUUUUAAAUGUGAAUUGGAGCUUAGAAAAAUUAGCUAAAUUAUACAUGUUGGACUUGAAUUUGACUUUGCAGAAAACUGACGUUUCUACACCGUCAUUUGAUCAAACUACCAGAUUCAGCUCUAUGAGCCGUAGCUUGUUUGUAUCGCCGCAGUUUGUGGGCGGUGGAUAUCCAGAAUAGUGUAGAAUAAUAUUACGCUCGUGCUGGGAUGCCGAGCUUAGUUUUACAGUAUUGUUUAGACUGUUCCAGAUUGUCGGGUGUCGUUGGGGUUGAUGGUGGACCCAGAUCGCUGUUUUUGCAUCAGAUUGUGGCGAGGGCACGUGUGUUUUGGUUGUUAGACCCUGUUAUUUGACUAUAGCCUGUGAGAGAAGGAUUGAGCUCGACAGAGACACGCUUGCAUACUCUGUUGGGUAGCGCCCACGAGUGCCACUCCAGAAUCGGGCUUUGUGCGUUUGCGUUGGUGUCGUUGUGUCCUGAUUGGACUUGAUCUCCAUUGACGACCUGGUUGGUGUCAGAUAGUGUAACUUCGACAGGUGGGACGGGUGUGUUCAUAGUCCCUAGUGAGAUUGGGUUAGGAUUUACAUUUUCUACAGAUUGUUGUGUUAGAGUAUGAUAAUAUAGUGGCAUUUAGCUGUAGAUUUGUUUCAACUUUUCUUACUAUCCCUGCUUACUUUUGUAGAGUUAGUGGGUGAACCGUUGAGAUCGGUAGCGGUACCCACUGAGGACUACUUUUUUUUGCAGUAGUUCUCACAUCCAGUUGUUGAAAUCUUUUGUAGAGCCUUCUUCUUCGGCUGCUGCUGCUGCUGCUGAGUCUGAUCGUGGAAAGGGUGUUGCGAGUUAGAGCCCUUCCUAACGAGUUGCUGAGCUAGAGAAGUACCAGUUACAGAUAGUUGUAGUUUUUGAGUUUUUACACAUACUGUGUUGUAUCUCGCUGGAGCGAGCUUUUUGUACACCUGGAUUCGAUGUAUGUAUAGUGAACUUUUGUUUUAUUUUUAUUCUCUUUUAGCAGCCUAUACUACUGGUUGUAGUAUUGUAUGAUUACAGAUACAGCUAUCGCUUCGUAUACAGGAAAAAUUCCUUUGUAUACGGUGAAUUUGUCAGCGUGCCCGGAGAAACGAGUAAUCCGGGGCGUAACACGCUUGGUAUAAGUGUCGGUUUAUACGUGACGACUCUUAAUUUGCUGACGCUUUCAAAAGUGAUUGUAGAUUAUAUUGGGAUAUUUUUAACCAUUGUUAAAUAUUAAAAAAAAUGUGUCCUUAAAUGUAAUUAUAUUUUUGUAGUAAUUUAGUAUAAAAUGAAUCUAAACAUAAAUUUAUAUGAAUGUAAAAAGUAUGUGAAACUAAUUCACCGAUCGAGAGAGUUUAGGACUGUCUCCUGUAGAAUUGAGCUAGAAUACUUUUAGAAUUAUCACCCCUUUGGUGCUAUUAGGUUUUUAGCCCUUGGAUCUACUCCUUGAUUACUAAUAACCCUUAAAUCAAACACUAUUCCACAUACCACCACCUACCACCACUUAGCACUCUUAUCUCAACCUUACAUCCAUCCAUCUAAUGGCUAAAAACUCAAAAGUACCACCUUUAUGGUGCUUUUGAGAGUAUUCUAGCUCUACUCGUCUCCUGUAACAUAUUAUAUAAUUUCACUUAUAUUAACAUUCUCUUUGAACCGAAAAAAAAAAAAAAAAUCAUUUUGUUCGUUGUUUGGAUGUUCCAAAGAGAGAGAGAGAGAGAAAAGAAACCAAAAAAAAAAAAAAAAGAUAACUGGGUUAUCUUCCUUACUUCCUAUCCAAAAUCAAAAAGAGAAUAUAUAUAUAUAAAUAUAUAUAUAUAAAGAGAGAGAGAGAGAGAGAGAGAGGAAGAGAGAGAGAGAGGAGAGCUAGACUCCUAUGCUUUUGAAAAGUACGGAGGCCUCCGUACUUGUAAGUUUUUUCAAUGAUGGGACCAUCUGAUUGGCGAUCGGUUCCGUUAAACAUGAUCUACGCUAUUGGAACUAUUUAGAAACAAAUUUCAAUAAUUUUUUGACUUCGUUUGCUAGUGAACGAGUAGCCUCAAAUGAACGGCUGAAAAUAAAAAUCUCAUAAAAAACAGUGAUAAAUGACUCAAAUUUCAAAUCGAAGUAAUUGUUCUUGCUCUUGAUAUUAAGUAGAAUUUUCUAUUAAAAUUUCAUAUAAUUUGGAUAUCUUCUACACCGUUGAACUUAAAAACGUGCCACAUCGGCCGUUAAAAUAGUCAUUUUUUGAGACCAUGUGAUCGCUUGUAAAAUGAUGUCGAAAAAUUUUGAAAUUUGGUUUCUAGAUAGUUCCAAUAGCAUAAAUUUUGCCUAACAGAGCCGAUCAUCGAAUUGGAUGUCCUAUCAUCGAAAACAACUUAUAAUACGGAGGCCUCCGUACUUUUGAAAGCACGGGAGACUCUAAUAUAUAUAUAUAUAUAUAUAUAUAUAUAUAUAUAUAUAUAUAUAUAUAUAUAUAUAUAUAUAUAUAUAAUUGGGCUCCUAUGCUUUUAAAAGUACCAAGUUAUUGGUGCUCGUAAGUUUUUGGCCUUUAGAUUAAUGCAUGUGCGGUUAGGAUGAUGUGGGCCCCCUAGGGUUGAGUGGGUGGUUGGUUGAAUAGUAUAAUCUAACGGAUAAAAAUGAUUAAAGGCAGAGAUCUAACGGUAAAAAAUUUGCAAGCACCAAAUGCUUGGUGCUUUUACAAGCACCAUAGCCGGACUCUAUAUAUAUAUAGAGCUAGGCUCCUACACUUUCGAAAGUACGGGACUUCCGUACUUGUAAGUUGUUUUCGAUGAUGGGACAUCCAAUUUGGCGAUCGGUUCCGUUAAACUUGAUCUACGCUAUUGGAACUAUUUAGAAACCAAAUUUUAUAAUAUUUUGACUUCGUUUGUCUAGUGAACGAGUAGCCUCAAAAUGAACGGCUGAAAAUAAAAAUCUCAUAAAAAAUAGUGAUAAAGAACUCAAAUUUUAAAUCGUAAGUAUUGAUCUUGCUACUGAUGUUAAGUAGAAUUUUCUAUUAAAUUUUUAUGUAAUUUGAAAACUUUUACACCGUGAACAUAAAAACGUGCCACAUCGGCCGUUAAAAUAGUUAUUUUGGAGACCUUUUGAUCACUUGGUAAAUGAUGUAAAAAAAUUAUAAAAUUUGGUUUCUAGAUAUAUAGUUACAAUAGGGUAGAUUAUACUUAACGGAGCCGAUCAUCGAAUCGGAUGUCCUAUUAUCGAAAACAACUUACAAGCACGAAGGUCUCCAUACUUUCGAAAGUACAGAAGACUUUCUAUAUAUAUAUAUAUAUAUAUAUAUAUAUAUAGAAUUAGGCUGGAAUACUAUUAAUAGUAAAAUGCUCUUUUUACUAUCAAGUUUUUAACCCUUGGAUGAAAAAUUGUAAGGUCAAGAUGAUAUUAGUCGGUUAGAGUUGAGUGGUCCCUUAGGGUUGAGUGGUCCCCACUGGGUUAUAGUAUUUAAUCCAAUGGUUAGAAAUAAUGAAAAGAGUUGAUCCAAAGGCUAAAAAACUGGUAGCAACAAUGAAAUUUUGCUACUAAUAGUAGCCCAGUCCAACUCUAUAUAUAUAUAUAUAUAUAUAAUGAGGCUAUUAUGCUUCUGGAAGCACGGAGCCUUGCCGUCGUUUUCUGGUUGAUGUUGCGCUUUUCGAAUCGUCGAUCGGCUCCGUGUAAACUUGAAUUUAGAGUAUUUGAAGUAUCGUAAAAAUAAAUUUUGCAAUUUUGCGAUAUCAUAUUGCAUCAGUGAACUAAGGGGCUCAAAAUCAACGGCUGAAAAAGUAAAAAUCUUACAAAACAUGAUAAUAUUGACAUUAAAAUUUUAGAUCAAAGAUAUUGAUCUUGUUUAUAUAGAUAUAAAGAAUUCUAUCAAACAAUUUCACAAGUGAUUGAUAUUUCUAGAUCGUUAAACUUGCACAAACGGCUCACAGCACACGGCCAUUAAAUUAUUGAUUUUUGAGUCCCUUCGAUCACAUAGGUAAAAUGAUAUCGAAAAAUCAUAAAAUUUAUUUUCAGGUAUUUUCAAAUAUUCUAGAUCAAGUUUAAACGGAGCCGAAUCGACGAUUCGAAAGUCGCAAUAUCGAAAACGACCUGUGAGUACGAAAGGCUCCGGGUCCAGAAGCAUAGUAACAUCACUCCUAUAAUAUAUACUAAAUACAUAUAUACUAUUGUAUCAUCCUAUUAAGCUAGAGCAUCGACAAUGUUGCAUAAAAUACAGAUCACAUAAUUGCAUGCGCGAUGAUCAAUGAUUUGUGUCAAGUUAUUAUUAUUUAUUAUUAUUAUUAAUUAUUAUAAUAUUUAUUAUUAUUAUAUAUUAUUAUUUAAAAGUAUAUUAUCUGUUUUGUUUUUAUAAAAUAAAUUUAGUUGAUGUUUUUUUGUUUUUUUGUUAGUGACUUUUCUUAAUCCGAGGCAAAUUUAUGUUAUAUAAUUAACAGAUAUACUUAAUCCAGAAGCAAUAAAUGAUUGUCACGCGAGUAAUAAUGAGAUAGGAAAGUAAAUCAACAAUUGAGAGCAAUUAUUAACUUUCGGAAGUAUAUAAUAAAUAAAUAAUAAAAUAAAUAUAUAAAUAUAUAUAUAUAUAUAUAUAUAUAUAUAAUAUAAUAUAUAUAUAUAUAUAUAUAUAUAUAUAUAUAUAUUUGGAACCAUUAACAUAUAUACUUGAAUGCAAUUAUUAUUAGAAUUAUUAUCAGUUAGUUUUUGACAAUAUCCAUAAUCGAACCAAAAUCGCCAAUUUCAGUUUAUUUUGGUUCGAUUUUAAUUAUAUAUAAUUUUAAAAUUUUACAAUAAAACGUUUUAAUUUAUUUUUAAAUUGAAAACUUAAAAUAUCAACUCAUAAUAUAUAUUUUCAUAUGCUUUUGUGUGUAUAUAUAUAUAUAUGUACGUACCUAAUGAGUGUGUGUACUAAUAUUUAAUACAAAGCUAUCAUUUGAUACACCAAGUAAUUGAAACCCAAAAAUCAUCUGAUUAAUUAAAAAUUAAACAAAUUAACUGGUACAUCAUAUAUUCAAACUAUUUUUAAAAAUUCAAGUAUUCAAACUUACAAGCAAAAUCAAAACCAAACUUAAAUUUUAAAUUUGGUCAUUUUAAUUUAUCUUAUAAUUCAAAUCGAACUGAAUCACACCACCACAAACCGAUUAAUCUACAAAUCAAAAUAUUGCGCGGAUAUUAUUUUAAAAAAUAAUCUUUUUGAUGUAUUUUUUGUUCAUUUUUGUUUAAACAAUAGGCGUUUAAUUUUGCGUGACACAUUUUAUUUUGGUUUCUUAAACAUAAUUUAUACGUUGUAGCAAUUUAAUGGUUGUAAAUUUUGUAAUUUUUCUCACAAAAAUGAGCUACUGUUGCAGUCGCAUUCAUGAAAAUUUAGUUUUACAUCAUUUUCUCAAAAUAAAGUUUUAGGAUUUAGGAAUCUUUCAUACAAUGAGAGCUAUGUUUAGGGAGGGAAAAAAAAGUAACUAAUAUAUAUACUCAAUUAUAUCAUCCUUUAACAUCUUAUUUGUUAUCUUUUUUUCUUUUUUUUUUUGAGGUGAAUAUUAACUCACUAGAACCUGCUAAAUAAUUCAAGCAUAUGUCAUAAGAAAAAAAAAACAAAGUGGUCUCUUUCUUUUAGCUUUCACUUGUGAAUCAGGACUUGUCCAACCAACCAAGGGAGAGAGUGAUGAGAAUUAACCAAACUCUUGCUUCAAUUUACCAUUUAUUUUGUGAUGAUUUUAUACACUGAAAAAGCCAGAAAAGUAUUUACUUUAUACCAUUCAAAUUCUUCAUGUUUAUGCAAAAAAAAUUUUGUCUAAAUUCUUGUUGGAUCAUUGGUACUAAAUAUUAAUCUCAAAAACUCGAGCUGUUAAAAAAAUACAACAAAUUUAUUUAAAACGUACAGACACAGCGCCUACAGGUCUUGAUUGUGAUUCGGCCCAACUAACCUUAUGCCACUUCGAACAUGACUUGGCUAACCCAACGUCACGCCAUUUGAACGUGACUUGGCUCAGCCUAACCUCUCGCUACAAGACAGAAUACUGGCCUCUUUAAACUAACAAUCCGACAAAUGCUAUCAGAGUAGAAGGUUCUGAGUUCGAAUUACGUCAGACUCCUAACAUUAUUAUUUUCUUUUUAUUUAAUUCAAGUCCACAUCAUGAGUCUAGCGAAAAAUCUUAAGCUCAGAAGUGAGGGCGAGUGUUAAAUAUAAAAAUAUUUAAAUACCGUUCUCUACGGACUUAUAAUGACAAUUUCGUAUUAUUUAACACAAACUAUCAAAAAUAUUCAUUUAAAAUACUUUAGCUGUAACAAUUGGCCAUAGACCAACUAGGCAGGGGUGUAAACGAGCCGAACACGAGCGAGCUCGGGUCGGCUCGUGUUCGGCUCGUUAAUAAACGCAGUCGAACACAGAGCUGGGCUCGUUGAAAGCAUCGACCGAAAAUCCAAAGCUCGUUUCGGCUCGUUUAUUAACUGAGCCGAACACAAGAACUGGGCCUACGAGCUGCCAGCAGCGACAAUAAAUUAAAAAAGGAUUAAAUUAAAUAUAUAUAAAAAAAUAAAUUUAUAAAAUCUUAUCCAUUAGACUUUGAUCUAAUAGUUGAAACUUUACAUAUAAAUGAGUCUUUUUAUAAUUAAGCUCGCAUUUAUAUUUUUAUUUUGCUAAAAUUUAAAUAAUAAAAAUAUAUAUUAUAUAUAAUUAUUUAUUUAUAUAUAAAAAUAUAAAUUAAAUAAAUUAUAUAAAUAUAAAAUAUAUGUAUUCGAACUGUUAUCGAGCUGAACACGAGCGAGCUGACCCCAGCUUGUGUUCGACUCGUUUAUUAAACGAGCUAAAAAAUUCAGCUUUUGUUCGGCUCGUUUACUAAAUGAGCAAGCCGAUCUCGAGUUCAUUUCGAGCCGAACACGAGCUGGCUCGCGAACAUCGAGUUGGAUUGCCACCCCUACAACUAGGUGGUCAUUCAUUUUACCUUUAUAUAUAAUGCCAUCCAAAUUUUCUUACAUCUUAAUUUUGUUCCAUAUAUAAUUUUCACCUCUAUUUCCAUUAAUUAUUCUUCCUUUUGUUUUGAUGAGCAAUAAUAACAACAAAGCAAUGUUCUAGAUAUAAUCACAUCAACAAAAUCUAGAAAAGGAUUUCCAGCUUGGCCAUGUUCAUCAAUUGGAUAUAUAUGUGGUCCUAAUCCUAUUCUUUAAUUAAUAAUAGGGGCCAUGCACCAAUCCUUGUACAAAAAGCCAUGUGACUUUUAAUGAAAAUAAAUAAAUGAAAUGUAUCCAAAUCAUCAUAGGUCACCCUAAAAUUCAAUUGGUGCAAAUCAUGGCUACCUUUUGGGAAAGAGGAAAAAAAGAAAUGUUUGGUAUUUGCAUUUUGGUGGUUGUAAUAUGAUUGCUUAUAUUACAACAAAACUUUUAGGAUAAUAUUUUAAAGGAAAAACUUUAAAUGCUCUUCGCUGUUGUUUCGUACUUUUUUUUUUAUUUUAGUAUUCUAUAAUUUAAAAUGUAUCAAUUUAGUAUCUCGUGAUUUCAUUUUUCUUUUCAAUUUAAAAUGUAUUAAUUUUUUUCAUUAAAUCAGUAACGUCAAAGUUAAAACUAAAAGUUACUAAAAUGAAUAUUCGAUAAACCUAUGUGGGGUAUCUGAAGUUUUUGCAUAUAAUUUAACGAAAUAUUAACAAAAGAGCUGAAGAAAAAAAAAAAUGAAACCAUAGAUACUAAAUUGAUACACUUUAAACCACAAGUUACUAAAGUAAGAAAGUACGAAAAUUUACUCUAUUUUAAAAAAUAAAUAUUUUUAUUUUUACAAUAAUUUAUAUUUUAAGAUAGAGAGAAGUUAAAAAAAUAUUGUAUUUAGUUGAUAUUUUUCUUAUUUCUAGAAUAAUUAAAAUUAUACUUGGUUGUUUUCUUAAGAAUUGGAAAAAAAUGCGGUGCAAAGAACACGGCUAAAGUGGAGUCUGAGACAAAGAAUAAACCGAACAAUAGUUUAUUUCAAAGAGCGGAGAAAUAGCUCAUAACAAGUUAUUUCUAAAUGAUAUAAAAUAAUUUGAUUUCAUUAGAAUAAAUUAUUGCGAUCAAAUUUAGCUGUGUUUAAUUAGCAUAAUACAUAAAAUAAAAUGCUCUAUUCUUGGAUUAUUUUGUUACCAAAAUGCAGUUUUACUAGAUUUUACAAAAGAACAUAUAAUUUUGUUGAGCUUUUGUACUCUACUUAAUUUCUCUCCAUGGAAAUAUUCUAGAAAGAAUUAACUGAGUUGUUUUAUUUAUUAAUUAAUAACUACUAACCCCCUUGAAAAAUUUAGUCUUUUAUAAAUUAUGAAAAAAACCUUGCAACAUAGUUAUAAAUACAAAUAAUACAUCACUUGUCAUGGGAAAGUGAUAUUUUAUGUCUAAAAUAAAACAUUCUUUUUCCAAUAUCAAAUUAGAAGAUUUCUAUUCACUAAAAAUCAUCCAAAAUAUGAACCAAGCGUGCAUGUGAUUGCUACAUAUGAUUGCUUAAGAGGAUAGGAAGGAAUAUUUUAAGUAGGGUUUUUUUUUGCAAUUAGCCCUCUGGAAAAAACUUAUUUUAAAAAUAGCCCCAGCAAAUUUAAAUUUGCAAAAAUGGUCAUGAUUUUACCACACAGGCGCCACAUCAACGCCACGUGGAUGUGUUGGGGCGUUAAGUUGAACACGAACGCGCUGAAUGGUUCACCGUGUUCCAUACUUAUCUUUUUCAUAAUACGUAUAUUUUUUCUUUCCUUUUUCUUUCUCCAGACACGGUGAACUAUUCACCGUGUCUAAACACAGUGAAUGGUUCACCGUAUUUAACUUAACUAUCUAGCCCAGCCCGGCCCUCAUGGCGCUGAUAUGGUGCCUGCGUGGCAAGACCAAGACCAUUUUGCAAAUUUAAAUUUACCAGGUCUAUUUUUAAAAUAAUUUUUUUGGCAGGGGACUAAUUGCAAAAAGGCCUUUUAAGUACCAUUUGUCUCAUUAAUUACAUAUAUUUUUAGGGUUUCAUAGAAACAACUAGAAAAACAAAGAUUCUUCUAGUUAGUGUACUCACCUAAUGAUUAAUUCUGAUUUUUUUAAAAAAAUUAAUUAAGCUAACAAAUAAUUAAUAGUGUUUUAGUAUCUUAUUUUCAUUAUUUUUGAGACCGCUUGAUAGGCUUACGACUUGAAUUUAAAUUAAAUGAAGGGAGAUAAUGAAUCGUGUUUUUAUAUAUUUUAUAUUCAAUAAUAAUUUUACUUUACUCAUUAUCUCUAUUGCAAGUACUACAUAAAAGAUUUAAUGGCUGAUAUUUGAGAUUCUAAAUUUAAAAUUUAAUUGCUCUAUAUUUUUAGCUAAAUUUAUUUUUUAAAAUAUAAAUAAGACAAUCUUAUUAAAACAUAACUUAAGACGUAGUUGGCUAACGGCUCAAUAGUUGUUAUUUGAGAUUUUUAGUUUGAAACACAAUUGCUUCAUGUAUAUUUUAAGCUAAAUUUAUUUUUAAAAAGUAAAAAGUAUACAUAACUUAACUGAACUAUAGAGCCGACUCAAAGUGGUCCAUCAUUAAGAUAAGUUCUGCAUGCUUUACCUUUUUUUAGAAAAAAUUAAAUAAAGCAUAUAACUCUCUCUCUCUCAAAAAAAAUAAAAUAAAAUAAUUUCCAAGUUGGUCCCCAAACUUUGGCCUCACUUUCAAUUGUGUCCUUAUAAUUUUAAUUAUAUAUAAUAAUUAAAUCAGCUUAUGUUGUACAAUGUUAGGUAAUGGAAUAACAAGGGAUAAAUUACUUUACUAUACAAACACAUUAAAAGUUUAGAAAAAUAUUUUAUCCUAGCUAAUAAAAUGGAUUAUCUCAUUGCAUUUUUCUUAGAAGCAGGGUGACAAAAAAUCUGUCCUCAUUAAGAUAAGUAAAUUUUCAUGUGAAAACACUAGUCAUGCUAACAUUGUGACUUCAAUUUUUUUUAACACUUCUGCAAAAGCUCUAAUUAAUUGAGAAAAAUAAAUAUUAUGAACCACAUUUAAUUAUUAUCCCCUCUCAUCUAUAUCUAUAUCUAUUUCUUUACAUUAAUCUUCAUGGCUAAAUCCUACAUGUACGUACUCUCUUAAUUUGGAAAAGAGCGGGACCUACUUUUUUUUUUUUCUCAUUUUCUUUCUUUUUUCUCAUUUGAUUAUUGUGUUAUAGAAAUAAUUUUAAUCGCCUAUUUGCAUGAUAUGUGACUUCUCUUGAAUAAGGUUUAAUAGUUUUGUUGAACGAUUAAAUUAUUUUCAUUAUAAUUUUACUUUUUAAAAGUAUUUGUCUACAAUAUAGACUAUAUUUACUAUUUUUGUACUAAACUUAUAUUUUAUUCUUUACAAAUUUUUACUUUAACUGUAUCUACCCGCCGUAACGCGCAAAUCGAUCACUAAAACACAUGAUUUAAUGCGGUUAGAAAUAUUAAUUAAGUAUCCAAACCAACCCCCAUCACCAUGCAUUACCAUGCAUGCUAUUAUUUGGCUUUAUUGAAUUGCAUGCUUAAUUUGUCCUUGCACUAAUCUUUCAAUGUUCUUUAUUAUUUUUUAGCUCAAUGAUUACAAAUUUAAGCAAAGUACAAACUUUGUUAGGCAUAGUGCGAAAAUAUAAUAUUUUUUUUAUUUUUAUAAAUAAUAUUUUAUUAUACAUAGAGUAAUAAAUUAACUAAAAUAUUUUUUGUAAGUUUAUCAAAGAAGUAUAUUUUUCUAUAUUAGUAUUUAAAUAUUCUUUUUAUGACACUAUUUUUUUAUAGAAGCAGUUAGCAUUCUACCCGCGUCGAUUAUUUCUUUUAGAAAUAAACUUAGCUAGAAAUAUGAAUCAACUAGUAUUCGAACUUGAAAUUUCAGAUAUCAACUACCAAACUCUUUGCAACUUGCGCUAGGAAUAGUCGGUUUUAUGACACUAUUUUAAAUUAAAAAAACAACAAUCUUACACUUCAAUAGUUUCAUCAAAAAUUUUUUAUAUACUAAACUAUAGAAUUAUUAGCCAAUUUGCAUAAAAAAUUUAUAAAUUUUCAGCAUUUGCAUUAGUGGACCGUCUUUUUCGAUUUUUCAUAUUCGGUUCGAAUUUUUUGCCAACUGGCGAAAAUACCUCUCGUCUCCCAACGCUCACUCGUACGCUCACAUACGUAUACCUUAUUGUACGAUGUCUGGACGGACAUUGAAAAAAUAUGAUGUAAAAUGAUAUAAAUGAUCAUCGAGGCAAAGCGGGCUUAAAUGUAAAAUAAAAGGCGAAUAUAAAAAUCGAAACAUUCAUUUCAUAUCCUUUCUUUCGAGCACGAAUAUUUCACUUUUAUUAUAUUAAUUUUUUGGGGCAAUUACUUAUAUAUUCCUGAAAAAUUUUCGACUUUCUGAUUUAUUUCUCUUAAAAAGGUAAUAUUAAAUUUUUUUUUUGUUCCAAGUUAUUUCAAAUAUAUUUAUAGAGUUAAAUUCUAUUAAUGAAUUAUUAGCAAUAAAGUUACAUAUGUGGAAUUACUAUUUUGACCUUUCAAAUGUACUUCGAUACCAUCACUAGUUUUUCUUAUUUGCCCUAAAAUUAGGGGCAAAAAAAAUAUUUUAAUUUUUGGUCUUUUCAAAUAUAAUCCUCUAACAUCACCAACUUUUAUUAUUCGCCCUUAAGUUAAGAACAAAAAAGGUAUUUUGAUUUUUUAAAUUUUGGUAGACAUUUAACUCAUAUUUAACCUGAAAUAACUUAAUGGUAGUAACUGCGAAAGUAUUUUUGAAUAACGAAGGAACAUAUGAUGAGUAUAUUAGAAAUAAAAAAAAAGUACGAGUAAAUUAGAUAUUUUUAAAAGUUUGAUAGAUAUAUAGAUAAUUAUCCCUAAUUGUAGUGUCCCUGGUGUUCUGCAGCCCGUAAGUUUCAGCAUUUGAGGUUUGUCAACACAUCUAGAGAGUGUCGAGACAAGUCAGAGUCGUUUUGGGCAAAUUGGAUGCAAAACGGACUCAGUGCAAUACGAGAGCAGAAUUCUGACACUGAAAUACGCAAAGUGCAGUAGUUCAGUGUUGAGUACCGGUACCUGAGAUGAAUACCGAUACCCCAGUGGAUGGCAGAGAUGGAUGCUCUCGGGUUUGCACGUAUUUGAUGCUGAGUACCGGUAUCGACUUGUCGAGUACCAGUAACGAGCUCGAGUACCGGUAUCCAGUGUGCGUGGCUGCGGGCUGAAGGCACGAGUAACGGUAUUCAAGUGGAGUACCGGUACUCCAGCUGAAUUUUUGAGUUGGUGAGGAGGCCUUUUGGUCAUUUGAGGCGUCGUUAAUCCCAACCUUAUCCCACUUCUUUAUAUAUGUGUUGAGAGACAAAGAAGGGGUUUUGGUUGCUGCUUCCUCUUUCUCUAUAAUUUUUGGACGUGCUCGUGGUGGUGGUCGCGGCUCGAGCCGGAACGGUUGUCGACGUUGCGCCGGAGGGUCGUUCGAGCGCAUGGGCGUCGCGGUUGCGCCGUUGGACACCGGGCGAGCGCGUGUUUUUCCUUCUUUCGACUUCUCGCUGUGGUUGGACGAGCUUUGUAAGGUGGGUUGAAGUUUACCAAAAUCGUCGGAUUUCCUCCUAAGCCGAAUUAUGUUAGCAUAUGUUUUCAUGGGUAGAAUUAUGUUUAAAUAGCUCAGUUCAUGGAUUUGCAUAGGUUGUAUAGAAUAUGAAUUUAGAGCUUAGAAUAAUUCUACCUGUUGGACUUGGAAUUGACUUAGGAGAAAACUAUUGAACCCUACACUGUCACUUUUCUGAAAAUUACCAGAUUUAGCUUUAAGAACUAUGGUUUGUUUGUAUCGCCGCUAUUCGUAUGCGGUGGGUACCCGGAUUAGUGUAUGAUGAGUUUAUGCUCGUGCUGAGAUGCCAACCUUAUUUUACAGUAGUGUGUAGACUGUUUCGGACUGUCGGUGCCGUCGCGGUUGACAGUGGACCCAGAUUUCUGUAUUUUGUAUCAAAUUGGGCCAAGGUUACGUGACCUUUGGUUGUUAGACUAAUUAGACCCGUUUGCAUUGAUUACAGUCUGUGAGAGCCUGAUUGAGCUCGGCAGGACACGCUUGCAUACUCGGUUGGGUGCGCCCACGAGUGCCGCUUCAUUGUCUGGCUUUUUGCUUUGCGUUGAUGUCGUUGUUGUCCGGUUUGGACUUGCUCUCCACUGGCAGCCCUUGGGGUGGUGUUCAGUGUAGCUUCGACAGGCGGGAUGGGUAUAUUCACAGUCCCUAGUGAGAUUUGGUCAGAGAUAGCAUUUCUUUUAUCUACAGACAGUUAGUGUUGGUUAGCGAUAAUAUAGUGGCAUAUAGCUGUAGGGUUUCCAGCUUUCCUUACUAUCUCUGACAUACUUUUCUGUAAACUUAGUAGGUGAGCCGUUAAGGUCGGUGACGGUACCCACUGAGUACUACUCUAUUUUGUAGUAGUUCUCACACCUAGUUGUUAACCCCUUUUUGCAAAGCCUUCUUCUGCGGCUGUUGCUGUUGCUGAUUCUGACAGCGAAAAGGAAGUCGCGAGUUAGAUCCCUUCCAGUUUUGUUGCGGUGCUAGAGCAGUACCUUCCAGGGGUAGUUUUUGGGCUUUCUUUGUACAUACUGUGAUGUUGUCGAGGUGCUCCCUUGAGCGAGUUGUGUUGUAAACAUUUUGUAUGUACUGGAACCCCUCGAGAUUUUAUAUAUUUAUCUUUUACAGUUUAGCAGCUCUCUACCUUGUGAUUGUAGCUUGGUUUCGUUAUAGGUACAGCUAUCGCUUCGUAUACAAAAAAAAUUUCUAUUUAUAUGGCGAGUCUGUUGGCGUGCCCGGAGAAACGUGGUAAUCAGAAACGUGACAUGUUAACUGGCUCAAAUCAGACAAAUUGAGAGUUUAGAUACUAAAAUCAAAAUUGUGAAAGAGUGAACAGUCGAUUCAAAAUUGUUUAUUAGGGCUUUUUUUGCAUAUAGCCCCUUGGCAAAUUUUUAUUUUAAAAAUAGCCUUCUUAAAAUUUAAUUUGCAAAAAUAGCCCUGCGCCUGCCACGCAGACGCCACGUCAACGCCACGCGGGCGGGGCCAGGGCCAAUGUGUUAAAUUAAACACGGUGAACCAUUCACCGUGUUUAGACACGGUGAAUGGUUCACCGUGUUUAGUACGUAUAUUUUAUAUGUUGAAAAGAGGAAUAGAGAGUAGGGAUGUCAAUAGGUAUGGAUAUCCCAAAUAUUAUCCGAACCCAAGUCCGAAUAAAUUAUAUAUUAUAUAUAUAUAUAUAAUAUAUAUAUAUAGAUAUUAUAUAUAUAUAUAUAUAAAAUUUAUUCGGGCUUGGGUUCGGAUAAUAUUUUAGAUAUCCAUAUCUAUUGACAUCCCUACUUCAUAUUACUCUUUUCAACAUACAAAAUAUACAUAAUAAACACGGUGAACCAUUCACCGUGUCUAAACACGGUGAAUGGUGAAGACACGGUGAAUGGUUCACCGUGUUUAACUUAACACAUUGGCUCUUGCCCCACCCGCGUGGCGCUGACGUGGUGCCUCCGUGGCAGGCUCAGGGCCAUUUUUGCAAAUUAAAUUUUGACAGGGCUAUUUUUAAAAUAAAAAUUUGUCAGGGGGCUAAAUGCAAAAAAAAGUCUUGUUUAUUAUUCAUGUAAAUUCUAAACAUUUUUACCAAAAGUAAAUAAACAAUUUUUUUUUUCAAAAAACACUGUUGCUACAACACGAAGUUACAUGGAUAAAGGUUCUGAUAGAUGUGUACUAUUUUUAAUUUACUAUCCAACCUUUUCAAAAUUUAAAUGUACUAUCCAAUUGUUCAAUUUAUUUGAUUUGAUCAAUCAACUAAACUUUAAAAUAUUAAGCUAAUUUUUUAUUUUAAUAAAUUUAUAAUUAUAAAAAUUACGUGAAAUGUACUAACUAAAUUUGUAAAAAUCAAUGAUACAUUUAAAAUUGGAAAAACUUCGAAUACCACUCCUAUAGUUUUGCGCUCUCUCACUUUAAUAUCCUGUGGUUUUAUUUUUAUCUUUCCGUUAUCUCUCUGUUAAUUUUUCCGUUAUAUCAAUGAUAAAGUUAAAACUACGGGGUACUAAAAUAAAAAUUCGGUAAACCACAGGGUACUAAAGUGAAUAUUCAAUAAACCAUAUGCGGAGCAUAUGAAGUUUUUUGUUUAUAACGGAGAUGCAAAGAGGAAAAUAAAACCACAGGAUACUAAAGUGAUACAUUUUUAAACUACAAGAUACUAAAAUAAAAAAAAAUACGAAAUCAUAGGGAUGGUAUUUGAAGUUUACUUUUUAAAAAAAUUUUAAGCCAAAGCACCAUUAACUGUAUGAAAUUAAGUAAUUCAUAAGAAGAACUGGAUAAUAAAAUUAAAUUUUCAAAAGGUUAAAUAACUAUUUCAAAGUAGCCUAUAGUUCAGAUAAAUUAUGUACAUGAGUACCACAAUUUUGUUCAUGUAACUUCAUAUUGUAACAACAGUCCUUUUUUUAAAAAAUAUUUUAUUUAUUUAUUUAUUUAAUUUUUUGAAACAAGAGCUUUAACAGGUUGUGAUUGUACGUGUUGUUGUUUGGAGGGGGGGACAAAACAAAGAGAGGUGGGGUGUUGUCACUUGUCACAAGCCACAAGGGGCAAUCGAAAGAAAUUAUACGCCUUUUUGGGUCCCCAUUACGAGAUGCGAAAUCUCGGGAGCAUUCCCUGAUGCGUCUCCUCUAUGGAAAAAUAAAAUUAAAAAAAAAAAAGAAAAAGCAACUCUUUAGAGAUAGAUUUUGGAUUAUGUAAGGUCGUAUUUCAUAGUUAAAAAAGGGGUUUUUUUUGCAAAUAGCCAUCUGACAAUUUUUUUUUUUUAAAUUGGCCCUGUGUAAAAAUUAUUUGCAAAAAUGGCCCUGGCCCCGCCCCGUCAGCGCCACGUCAGCGCCACGCGGGCGGGGCUGGGCCAAGUGUUUAUAUUGAACACGGUGAACCAUUCACCGUGUUCAAUACAAAAUUUUUGUAUUGGACACGGUGAAUGGUUCACCGUGUCCAAUACAAAAUGGCUAAGUGGGAUAUAUUUGUAUUGGACACGGUGAAUCAUUCACCGUGUCCAAUACAAAUAAUUGGACACGGUGAAUGGUUCACCGUGUCCAAUACAAACACCCACAACUUAGCCAUUUUUGGCUAAGUCGAAUGUAUUUGUAUUGGACACGGUGAACCAUUCACCGUGUCCAAUACAAAAAUCUUGUAUUGAACACGGUGAAUGAUUCACCGUGUUCAACUUAUACAAUUGGCCCAGCCCCGCCCGCGUGGCGCUGACGUGGCGCUGACGGGGCGGGGGCAGGGCCAUUUUUGCAAAUAAUUUUUACACAGGGCUAUUUUCGAAAAUAAAAUUUUUUAUGGGGCUAUUUGCAAAAAAAGCCCUUAAAAAAGUCAAAAUUUUGAAGUUUCUUGGAUGUUAAAAACAUGACAUUUAUUAAGUAUUUGUGUUGAGAAGUAUCUUAGAAAUUCCUCGGAAUCUCAUAUGUGAUUGAUUUUGAAUAGUAAUACUGAAAUUUUAAGAGGUGUUUCAGAUGUAGAGUUGCUAUACUUUCGAAAGUAUAAGGAAGUUGAUGCUUUCAACUUUUUAACCCUUAGAAUAAGAAUUGUAGGUGUUAGAUGUAUGCCCUAGAAGCCAACCAGGCCGACACAUAUAUUCUUUUUAGGACAUAAAUUUGUAUUUGACUUUUAAAUAUUAUGAAUAACUUUGGAUUUUUAUUUCCAUUCAUGUUGUGUAUGUGUCCAUGAAUCGUCCAAGGAAUUAAUAAGAUGAUGACAUAUAUUCUCAAGUGUUGAGAAUUUGAGACAUGUGUCAUUGGUGGUUAAUUUCUAAAUGCUCCCGAUCAAUGGAUCAUCAUGGGGACGGUGAUUGAUCCGGUGAGAUUGGUGCAUAGGUCGCUUCCCUUUCUAGCUAUGGCGCUAGAGAGUCUAUUCGCCGGAUCUCGAAUCAGUAGUGCGGGACACUAAACGCGUACCAUAAGUUGGAUGUAGUGUUCUGUUAGAGUAACAAGCUGAUCGGGUGCAUUAGAAAUGGUAACCAACCAAAUGCAACGGACACUUCGGAACCAUACUUUCGUAGCAGUCACAUUGGUGAGUUCAUUAAUACGUCACUCAUGGUCUACGUGACUUACUCAAUUUUGCUAAGUAGCUGUGACUGGUUCCUUUCGGACCCGUGUGCCUCGGCUAUUCACAAAUGAGGUUACUGUAGCUUGACUGUACAUACACUUGGUCGCUAGUACAUUCGGGUCUUGCGUGCUGUGCGUGCAGUAGGUUCAUUGUAGGAAUGGAGUGCGCACUUUAGAUGGAAUCUAUCAUCCUCUUGGUAGAUAGGGGUGUAGUCCUUAUGUGCAUUUAUGAGACAUGAGUUUAAAAUGAUUGGCCAGGGCGCAGAAUAAUAGCAGCGAAAAGGUUUCACGGAAUAUUCAGAAAACUCGAGUCGAAUAAAUUAACAUAAUACAAACGGUGGAGAUUUGAGAUUAAUUCAUAACCUCCGCUAGUCGGCGACUCUGAUAGCAAGGAUUGUAUCACACGGUAACUCACCAAGAGGAUUCAUUAUUCCAUUCUACUAGGUAAUGGACACUUUUACAUGCUGCAGGCGUCACUGUGAUUGUGAGACUAACGAGAUAUUCUAGAGGAUCGAUAAUUUUUAAGUGGGCGAGUUGAAGUGUUGCGCAGAUCCAUUGAAAGGAGUUCAGUGAUAUAUUGAUAGUGCAUCAAAUAUAUAUCUCACUCAACCAGAUAGAAUAGAACACUAUGGUGUGUCACCACAUAAGAGGUUGUGAUUUGAUCGGAAUGAGUAAUCUGCGAUAUUGAAUCGUCGGAGAACCUAAUUGCAUAAUAUUUGAUAAUUGACUAAUUUAUAAUUUGUACAAAUUACUGAGUUAAGUGAUAACAUAUGUAUAGAGAGGAAUUACUAAUAGUUAGUAAAAUUAUAAAAGACUUAAUGCUGCAAACAUGUUGCCAUUAUUAAUUGUUGAAUAUGACUCAAAUUAAUAUAAAAGAUAAUCAAAUUAGAUUUGUCCGAUCUAUGCCAAUUAAGAAAGAAAUUUAAUCUAGAUUUAUACUUAUCCUUAAUUGUCAUUAUAUUAUUAGGAAUAGGAUUAUAUUCCUAUAAAUAACAUACGGGAGUUUUUAGAAAACCCUAGCCGUUAUCUCUCUUCUCUUCUCUCUUCCAUCUUCUAGCAAGAAAGACGUCCUUUUGCAAGGGAGCUAGCACCCCGGUGAGGACAUCGAUCAAAUCAAGAACCUCGUGUGGAUACCUAUAGAGGCCGGACGCGUGUGCGGCUUCAAGAGAACCGAAUUCCACGAUCAUCAAAUUGAGGGGAAGAUCUAUCCGCGAAAAAGGUAAAGAUUCGAUCUUGCUUUUCUUCUUUAAUCUUAAAACAUGAGGGAUCCUAAUUGCGUGGUUUUGAGAUUGGAUCUCGAGAGUUUUCAAAAAUCAAAUUUGUUUGAUUUUUUGUUCCGCUGCGCUUUUACUGUACGCAAUUUACUAACAGUAGGAUAAUAUGGACGAUGGUGGUAUUCCUUAGAGGUAAGUGGUCUCUCUAGGGUUGAGUGAUCCCCUAAAGAUAAUAAUAUUAAUCCAAAGAUAAAAAAUGGUUAAAGAGAUUGAUUCAAGGGUCAAAAAGCUGGAAGCACUAACUUAGUUAUGCUUCAAUUAGUAUAGUCGCUCUACUCGGUGUUUCAGUAUCAAUACUCCAAGUUAAGUAUCAGUACUCAACUUCGUAACGGACUGAGUAAGUUAAAUUUGACUCCAAUUUGAUCUAAUAUUAUGUCUUGAGAUUAGAGAUGGUAUAGGAACACUCAGAAGAGAAUUAUUAAGAGGAGAUCGACGACUAGAAGGGCAUCAAGGAGUCAAAUAGAAGGCAGAGAUCGUUUUGGUACUAGAAUUGAAAUUUUUAGAAUUUUAUAAAUCAUUAUAAUUCAUGUUUUAAAGUGAAGAGUUUAAAGCUUUAUUGUAGAUACUCUAACCAGAAGAAAAGCAUGAAGAACUCCUCGGAGAGCGAGUUUUUUGUAAUCUUAUCUUAUUUUCUAUAUUUUUCUGCCAUAAAUUAAUUGAAAAAUACAUUAGGAUAGUCUUGUCCGUGAAUAUAGAUCAACACAUUGCUGAUCGAAUUACGUAAAUUUAGUGUUCUUGUAUUCUCUUAUUUAUUGUAUUAUUUUGUUAUCAACCUGCUUAUUUUUUAUGAUUAUUUUUUUCUAUAUUUAUUUACGAAAAAAUUUUCACCGUUUUUCAAAUAUAGUAUGAAUUUAAGUAUGUGCUCAGUAACUUCUCAAUGGGUUACUUCAGUAGAAUUGGAGCUUCUCACAAAAUUGAGAAGGUACUUUAAUAAGUUAAAUGAACUACACUGGUCUCCAGCUGGAUUAUAUAACAUGGGUGGGCUCCACUGGUUUUUUUUUUUUCUUUUUUUUUCUUUUCUUUUAUUAUUAUUAUUAUUUAUUAUUAUGAAAAUCCAUUAGAAGCAACCGGAGGAAUAAUUAAGUAGCAAGAAGUUGUCUGCUAACCAUGUACUCAUCAAUUAUUAUUUUUUUUUCGUCAAAGUUUAAUGCAAAAACUAUACCUCGUUUGGCCACAUGUUUGUUUUUUUUACUUUUUAAAUAAAAUUUUGUAUAUCAAAAAGUACUAGGAGUGCACUGUAGAUUGAUUGCAUCCACUUCAUCCAAAAUGUUUACUUGGCAACAAAAAUUUUUUUUUUUGAAAGUAAGUGUUUUUGCUCUCAAUUUUUGUUUUAAACAACUUAUCAUUUAUUAUUUAGCCGGAUGCAUUGUAAUCUAGUUGACAAACAAAAGUAUUCCCUGCAACCCAUCAAAUUAUAUAGAAUUAGUGUUGAAAAAAAAACCACAAACAUGAUGCCAAACAAGGCCGAUUUCUCAGUUAAAAUAUGGGAUAAAAUUUGAAGUUUGAAUCUAAAAUCAGAAUUAGAUUUUUUUCUGCUUUUGAUUUUAAGGCCUUCAAAAUCAGUUUUUUGAUUCUGAAAAAUAGAAUCAGAUUUUAAAAAUGAAGUUGUCAAAUGCUCUAUUGAGUCGAAAAUCACUUUUUAACGCAAAAGCACUUUUUAAAAGUUAGGCCAAACACCCCCUUAAUUAACAACCUGCUUUUUGAGAUGCAAGAGUGCACUUUAUCUUAUGUUAUCACAACCUUGCAUGACACAAAUUUACAAUAUUCAAUCACAUUAGAUAACUUAAGAUGAUUUGUAUACAAUCUAGUUUUCGUCAUUCGAAGUUAGGCCGCAAAAGAUUCAUGCAAGCACCAACAACACCAAAGUAGAGGCAAACACAGCUGAUUUACAAUGUAUAAUAAUAUCAGUAUAUUUUGAUCUGAUCAAGUGUGAUGUUAGAACCUUGUGUUGCUCAUGAGCAACACGCCCCGCCAUUAUUCUCCUGUUUCUGUUUCAACAUGUUCCUCGCAGCAGCCGACGGCCCCUCGUCCUGGGGAUUUGAAACCUCCAGAAUCUGUUCAGAGAACAUGAAAUCUUAACAUUUUAUGAUUGUUAAAUAUGGCGAGUUAAUUUAAACAUAAAAAAGGACGAAAGAAAGAAAAACUUGAUGGAUGGCGCGUUAACGUGGCAGCAACCAAAAUCUGUACAAGAUUAAUUACAAGAGGAAAAAAAAAAAAAAAAAACCAUCGUAGUGAUCAAUAGCAAAUCAUCUUUCAGUAAACAGGACAACAGUGAAAAAGCUAUUUUAGCACCCAAAAUAGACUCUACCGGGUCAUAAGGACCGAGUGCAUAACCAAAGGAGAGAAAUUUAGAGCAUAGUAAUGCCUCACGUUAAAACUCAUUCAAAAAACAAACACUGCGUCUUAAAAAUGAUUAUAUAACUUUUUGAAGAUUUACCUUCAAUGCAAGUUCUUCAAAACAUUUCUCCACAUUUUCCUGUGUUUUCGCGCUGCACUCAAGGAACAGACAACCAGACUGUUGCGCAAAAGCAGCUCCCUCUUCCCUUGUCACCUUUCUUUCAUUCUCCUGUUAUCAAAAUUAUGAAGCGAUAGUUGAAAUCUUAGCAUUGCAGCUCUUUUGUUUAGAAGUAUAUUGAGAGAAUAUGGUUAGUGAAAAUAACGAUAUCUCUAGUAUGAUGGUAUUAGUAUUUCCCACAUACACUUGUUUACAGGGAAUGCCUACCUACGACUAUGACACUAGGAUGUUUAGUCACGCUCCAAAUCCUGUAAGCGAGAUAACAAAGUAUCGUAGAAUGUGCAACUAAUGCCCUAAAUACCAAUUGCGUAUGUAGCAUGCAAAACCAAAGAGAAUUGAACUACUGCAUCUUAGUUCAGAUGUAGUUCUUCAAUGUACUGAAAAUGAUGAACUUGCAAUGUCGAAGAAUAACAGUAAUGAUGAUAAGGUUUUCAAACAACGAUAUUACCUUGUCAACUUUAUUCCCAACAAGCAUUUUGAUGCAAUCUUUAUUUGUGGAGUACAACUCGAUUUCCUUGGCCCAUAUUUCCGCUAAAUUUGUAAAAGUUUCUCGUCGUGUCACGUCAUAAACUAAUAGCAGAGGGUAAAGGAAAGUAGCUCAUUCAGCAUUUUAUUCACAGUAAAUAGCAUCAUCACAUUGGCAAAAUUCUGAUAAAAGAUUCUAGAGGUGUAAGAAUGAAAAAUACAAGAUUAAAAAACAUUAUUUUCUUAGUUUAGUCAUCAAAGAAUUGUAUCAAUCAGCCUUAAGAUAGUCAGUUACAUUAAUCAUUCAUGUUUUUCAUCAGGAAACAAAGGUUUUUAAAUUUGCAGGUGAAUAAACUAUAUUCAAAGCAGAUAUCAUUUCAUUAUCUUGUACAGUACUAAUGCAGUAGAAAACAGGAUGUAGACAUACGACUAAGAAACUUAUACGAGGAAUAAAGUUUACCGUCCAAGAAAUCUUAUUAACGAAAAUAUGAAUAUAUAUUAAAAGAAUCUUCAUGAUACUGACAUCGGGCGAAUCAUUUAAUUUUUUUUUUCGUAAGGCACAAGGAAAUUUGUAAUAUGAGUAUUAUAAAUGGCAAAACGGAUUCCAUGCAGCAUAAUUUGGCAAGAGUAAAUGACCGUAAGAUUUUUGCGAAGCUACAGAUGAAUCACAUAAAUAAUGAAAUAAUUGCCUUACCUAGAAUGAUUCCAUGAGCACCUCUAUAGUAAGAAGUCGUUAGUGUCCUGAACCUCUCCUGUCCGGCUGCAGACAGAAGUUCGGUUAGAUAUACACCCAUAAGAUGGGACAGAUAUAAAAAAUGAAAACAUUAGCAACAUGUCAACAAUCAUAUGUAAAAAAACCCCUGCUAACACACGGUAUUGCUUUGUUUAAAUUAUUAGACAUAAAACAAAUACUAUUGGUAGUGGCAGACUGAUAAAUAAUUAGAGAAGAGAAUACCACUAUACAUCAGAAUAAUACUUAUUCAUGUUGCUGUCGAAUACUAGUAAAUAAUUAGAAAAGAGAAUACCACUAUACACCAUAAAAGUAUUACUUAUUCAUAUUGCUGUCAUUCAAUAGCAAUCGUAUACCACAAACGAAGUACUUAAAAAAUGAAUUUUUCAGAUAUAAAACUAAGACAUGUUCAUGGUUUCUAUUCCAGUAAUAUUUGCAUAACAAUGUUUUGUAAAAUAUAGAAGGCGAUUACAAUUGAUUAUAAAAAACUAAAGAUCUCUAUACUGAGCUGCUGGUCUGUUACAAGCAUCUUACCCGAUCAGCAAAACUAUAACACACUUCUUUCCUAAAAUUGCAGCUUACUGCAUAAUUCUAACAUCUUUUCUGCUAUAUUUUUAUAACAAUGCUGUACUGUGAUUACUGUCUAAACUUGUAAAUUGCCACAAUUCCACACUAUUUUGCAAUCAUUGUUUUGGAUCCUUACACACUUGUUAUCAUUUACUCGACUAAGGCAUCAUUAUGAUCCCAUUCACCAUGACACAGUGAUUUAAAAUAAUGGCGAAAGAGAUUUGAAAAGGGUAAAUUUAGCAGGUGGGUUUGGAAUAAGCCAAAUAAAAAUAAAAAAAAGAGCAACCAAUGUAGAGGCAGAGCUGCAGAGGCAUUCUGAAUGGCAUCUUCAGUUUGAUUUGAUGGUGCAUUGUUGCUAUUUCAUUUUUUUAUGUUCUUUCUCCUCAUCUUUAAAUUCUCUUUCUUUCUUUCAACCCUAUAUGUUAAACCACUAAUAGUUCGUCUUCCUAUAUGUUAAACCACUAAUUAAAUUAUGCAUUGCAUGGUUACAUGCAUUAUCUGGACAUAUAGAUCAACAUGCAUAUAUGGGCCAAUGCAGUGAUUACUUUCCCCAUACAUGCAUCAACAUGCAUCUUAUAAACAAAACAAAAUAAAUCAAUAUUGUAAAGGAAACUUUCUGUGACAUAAUGAAAAUUAAUUACUGAAGAGAAAUUACCAUGAUACAAAAAAUGAAAGUUUUAAUAAAUUCUUUACAGUGACAUGAGUAUGAGUUUGCCAAACAACAAGUGUAAAUCGCAUAACUUGGACACCUAUAUCUAUAAUAUUAUGCAUAGUAGAAAACUCACCAGUAUCCCAUAUUGUGAGCUUAAGCUUCUUUCCAACUGUAAGAACCUUGAUUUUAAAAUCCACUCCUGCCAACAAAUUUAAGCAAAAAUUACUACAACAAGAAUGUGAGAAAAAAAAAAGUGUUAAAAAAGAAUGAGACAUGCCGGCUACCAAAUACCAAAGUUUGAACUAGCAAGUAGGAGAUCUUGCAGGAGACAGCUGGAGGCAAACUAUCCGCAAGUUAUAAAAAGCAUCAUUCCCUAACAACUUAAAACUUUUCGAGACAAACAGUCCAUAAAGAGAGACAAACUGUUAUUUCACACAUAUUGCCUAAUCCCUUAAAUGCACUAAAAAGAUUGAUCUUGGAGGAAACGGUCGGAGAUAAUCAUAAUAACUCCAUUGACAUUCACAGUGAAGACUAGGUGAACCAUGUAAAGUGCACUGAUAGAAAAGGUAAGAAAACAGAAAAGCAGGCAAGAAUCUUUACCAUCAAAUGGAGAAUGUGGGGAUAGAACAUAGGACCACUUGGAACUGAGGAGGCUUACGACCAACUAUGAUACCAUAUUUUUAAAUAUAAAAUACAAAUACUCUAUUUUCUAGCAACUUAAACUCUUAUUAUGUAAUAACGAUCGUCUUAUAUUAUUUUACAUGGUGUCAGAGUAGGAGUUGCUUAGUUUAAAUCCCAUCAGACUCCUAUAAAAAAUUCUCGAGCCUUGAAGGGGAGAGUUGAAUGUAAAAUAUGAAAAGUACUGUUUUUUGACAACUUAAACUUUUGGAGAUAAAAAAUCCACAAAGGAAGACAAGUGGUUGUUUCAUACAUAUUACCUAGUCCCUUAAAUGCAUGCAAAUAUGUUAAAAUCAAAGCCCUUCACAUCAUGCAUGCUUGCUGACGCAUUAACUGUUAGAAUUUCCGAUAGCAAGGCCCAACUAAUCAUAUUCAAAUCAAGAUUUCCUAUCAGAUAAAUGUUAAUCGCGACAAAAAUAGAACUACUUGAUAUGACCUGUUUUACCCCUUUUCCAUCUAUUUAAAUUAAAUAGAAUCUUAAUUAAACUUUAAUAGGAGUCGACUGGACUCUAUAUACAAGGAUACUGAUCUUUCCACUUUCUCAGUGUGCACUCUAGUGAAGAAUAAUCAUCAUAUCCACACCAUAGGGUGGUUGCUAAUGUUCAAGUCACAAUCGAGCUUCUCGCUUCCACAUAUUGAUCAAAAUAUUCUUUUCUUUGACGCUUUGUAAGCUUUUUUAUUUUGUUUACAAUCUUCGACAUCGGUAUGUAUUAGUUUUUAUUAUUUUUACAUGUCAUAUAGAUCUCACAUCAACAACCUAUAAAACUAGCAUUCUAAAGAACCCAUAGCAAUUGUAACGCCCUAAUAUUCUCACAUUAGAUAGGAAAAGAAUUAUAAUUAGAAACGUAAGGAUCGAAGGCUAGUAAUAAUAACCCGGCUUAUACAUUUUGGACCAGUGGUUUGGACCCAACGAGUUAUUAGUGCUAGUGGGCUAAAUCAUUACAUUUGGUAUCAGAGCUGGUUUGCCAGUUAGUAGUAUAAGAUAGGUCUCACAUCACUUAGUGAUUUUUGGGCAAGAAAUGAGACAAGACGAGAAUGUAAGAGUUUAAUCACAUUGGAUAGGAAAAGAUUAUGAGCAGGAACAGAAGGAGCGAAGGCUUUUCAUAAUAUAAUAACUGGACUUAAGCAUUUGGGUUCAAUGGUUUUAGCCCACGAGUUAUUAGUGCUAGUAGGUUGGAUCGUUAUAGCAAUCUAUACAUCUAUACAAAUACAUAAAUUGAGAGUUUUCAAUACCACGUGGCAGCUCCUUUACUCUAACCCUCUCCCCCCAGGCAUCGUCGAUUAUUACCUAUAUUCUACUUCCUCUCUCUCUCUUUUGCCUCAAUUAUUACCUAUAUUCUACCUUCUGUGUGUGUGUGUGUGUGUUGUGUGUGUGUGUGUGUUCAAGUAGUAUCUAUACUCUACCUAGUGGCGGAUCCACUAUAGUCUCCAUUGUAUGUACCCACAAGAAAGGUCUUUACGGUCUUUCUUCACAUUUUGAUCCUAUUUUGGGGUCAAAGUUAAAUAAGAACAAACAGUAUGGAGCAGGGCUAACCUCUUUCUUAUCUCGUUGGCCUACUACAAUGUGGGCCAACCAGAAUGCCUAGUAUUUUUUGUAAAUAUUUAAUUAAUAGAAUAAAUAAUUUAAAAAAUAUUUUUUGUUUAUGUAAUAUCAAUGACUAGUUUUUUUAGGCUAAAUUAUAAAAAGCCCUCUUGCACUUUAGCCCUAGUCUCAAUUACUCCCUUACAUUAAAAAUUGCAUUAAUUACUACACUGUAUUUUAUCAUCAUCUUAAAUAGAUCCAAAAUUUAAAAAAUGGGCAAAUUAGGCUCUAAAACUUCACUAAAAUAAAUUGGUAUAUCACUUUGUUCCACAUCUCAACAUAUACCUCUAUUUACAACUCAAAAUAAAUAUAAAAAAUUUACAUAAAAUUAAGGAGAUAUUUUAUUUUGCUAUACUAUCAAAAUUGAUAGUUUAUUGAGCAAUUUAUUAAUUUUUAUAAUUCUAUUGCAUUACUUAUAGAUAUAUAGUUUUUAUCUGCAAACUUAUUUUUACAAAGUUUUGUAGUAGAAUGCAAUAAUUAUUCCAAAUAGUUGGAUCUAAUUGAGAUAAUGACAAAGUAUAAGGCGGUAAUUGAUGUAAUUUUUUAUGCAGAGAGGACAAUUGAGACAAGCACUGAAGUACGAGAAGGCUUUUUAUAAUUUAGCCGUUUUAUGUUUAUUCUUCAUUAUAUAUAUUGACCCCACUGUUAAAACCACCACGGACUCUACCCUCUUCUCUCUCCUACACAUAUAUCUUAUAAGAUUCUUUCAUAUCUUAACACGGCUUUGUUUGCAUUUGGCUCCCUCAAAAAAAUUAUUCUCACAAAUAAUCUCACCAAAUUUAUAAUUAUAAUUUUGACCCUAUCCCCACCAAGCAGGUGCCACGUAAGCACCACGUGAGUAAAAUAAUAAGUUGAACACGGUAAUCCAUUCACUGUGUCUAAGCACGGUAAAUGAUUCACCAUGUCUAGAGAAAAGAAAAAGGAAAGGAAGGAGAGUGAAAAUAUAUAUAUAUAUAUAUAUAUUGUGAAAAAAUAUAAAAAAGAAUGUAAGUAUAGGAAACGGUGAACACGGUGAAUGGUUUACCAUGUUCAACUUAACAGCCCAGCCCGCUCGCAUGGCGCUGAUGUGGCGCCUACUUGAUAGGAAUAGGACUAAAAUUGUAAUUAUAAAUUUGAUAAGGUUAUUUCCGAAAAAAAAUUUUGAGGGGCCAAAUACAAAAAAAAAGCCCUAUCUUACAAGAUCCUCAUAUCUCUCUCUCUCUCUCUCUCUUUCUCUCUCUCUCUACAAGCAAAAUCCUUCUCUUUCUCUUUUGCACUCUCUUUUUCGAGCUCAACCCGGCCCCGGCCUCUCUCUCUCUCUCUCUCUCUCUCUCUCUCUCUCUCCUCACACACACACACACCAAAUCUCUUCGAAAUCUCCAUCAUUAUUCCUACUCUCCCUAAUCUCUAGUAACUCUCCUCCUCUUCUUUUUGCCUCUCUCUCUCUCUCUCUCUCUAUCUUUCUCUCUCACACUAGCUUUCUCUCUCCCUCUCAUAACCCAAGCCUAAAUCUCGAGAGGUUCGANGGGGGGCGGGGGCGGGUGCUAUCGCUGUUUUAGCUACGAGUUUGCUUGCAGCGGUUGUUCUGUGAUUUUUCUGUACUACUGUUUUAUUUUUUGUAUUAUUUCUUUUCCAAUCUAAGAUUUUUAUUAAUUAUACAGCCUAAUUGGCUGAAAUAAUAAUAUUUUUAUCGAUUUUGGAUCGGAUUUGGCGGCAUGCAUGGCCAAGCGGUGACUGCAAAUCCUUUAUUCCCAGUUCAAAUUUGGCUGUCGCCUAAUCAACAAAGUACGUACUAGUCUACUAUUUAGAUUAGUUGUGCAUUUAAUAUAUCAUAUACACAUAUAUUGUAAUUAAUUGAUCUAUAUAAACCCUCCAUUUAGAUAAAAUCUAUAUUUACUUCCUUUCAAGAUCUGAAGAAGUUACCAUAAAACUUCGUAAAUGAUCUAUUAAUGGCUCAAUCAGUGACUUCUUGGGAUGGAAAAUCAAAAAAAAAAAAAAAAAUCCUUGGUUUUGUUUUCUUUUGCUACAGUAUAUCUCAUAUUUUGAUAUAUUUUAAUCGGUUGAAAUAGUAGCCGCUGUAAAGCCCACUAGUACUCUAAUAACAUAGCAAGAGCACGUAACUAUCCAACUAGCUAGCAGUAAUAUCAUCGGAUCCAAACUACCGGCGCCUAAAAUACUUAAGUCCAAUUAUUAUUAUUAGAAUAUUAUUAAAAUGCGUAAUUUCUUAUAUUUUGAAUCAAGACCUCUUUUUCAUCUAAUGUGAGAUUAUUGAGACCUUAUAAUGCAAUCGCCUUCAAAAGACAAAAUUGAUCCAAACAAAGUAAGAAUCUCAUCAAAAUAGCCAAUAAUACACGCGAGAAGGGAUCUAUCUACAAGUAAUCAUCGUUUACCGAUGGUGGGGGCGGGCUCCUCGACAUGAUUUGAGAUGAAGCUGUUGAGGAUGCUACUCUUCCCCACUCCCGAGUCCCCGAUCAACAGUAUCUUGAACGAGUAGUCGUAUCCAUUACCCGAGCUAGAAGAAGAAGACGACGACGAAGCCAUCGCAAUGGCGACAAUGGUUUAGAGAGAGAGAGAGAGAGAGAGAGAGAGAGAGAGAGAGAGGGGAAUGAGAGAUAUAGAGCGAGAGAGAGAAGGGAAAGGGGAGAAAAAGGAGAGGAGGGUUUGGGGAAUCUGCUUCGGCUUUUGCUGCGAUCGCAGGUAGCGUCAGAGUCACGAAUGCUUUCCUUCUCUUUUCUUUUCUUUUCUAUUCGAGCGGGCAAGUAGGCAACGGUAUUCGUUUCCCUGCCCUACGGACUUGAUGGUAACUUGCACCUUAGCCCCCGACCUUUUAGAAUCUUUCAUUUUAGUCCUUUAAACCUUUUUCAAGAGUUUAACAUUUAAAAGUACAACAAGUGUUAAAUUAUAUAAAAUAACUAUUUUUCUCCGGAAGCUUUAGCCAGCACUCCCUCUUAUUUCUAAACCGGACAUGUUUUGGUAGACUUUAUAAUGUUGCACUGCAGCGGAGCGAGAAAUUUUAAAUUUUCUACUCUUAUAUCAUAUAAAAAUUAUAUAAAAUAAUUAUUAUUCUCUAAAAAAUUAAGCAAUAAGAAAAUGAUAUUUUUAAUAUUUAUAUUUAACAAAGCACGGUAAAGACAAAAUCUUCUAAUUCAUGGUAAUACAUUACUAUUAGUCGGUUAACAAUGACGAUUCUACAACUUCACAACUUAAAAGAGUUGCAUAGGGACUUUUUUCGAAAAUAACCCUCUGAAAUUUUGUAAUUGGCAAAAUAACUCUCUGAAAAUUUUAUUUGUAAAACUAACCCUCCUUUCGCCACAUCGGUGCCAGGUGGGAUUUUUCUCGUAAAGACGGUGAAUCGUUCACCGCCUAUGCGCAUUUCUCAUGAAGACGGUAGAUGGUUCACCGCCUUCAUGAGACGGUGAACUAUUCACCGUCUUAGGGUGAAUACAUCUCCGUCUUUAGAGCGAAUACAACACCUUUGGAACUGCUGUGCCCUCGAUAAGACGGUAAACAGUUCACCGUCUUACUUAAGACGCCCCUCAACUUCGGCCCGAACUUUGGCCAAGUCGUGGAGACAUAAAACACAGAUAAGACGGUGAAUUGUUUACCGUCUUAUUUGUGCUGCACUAAAGACGGUGAACUAUUCACCGUCUUUAUUGGCAACGGAGUGGACCAAGGUAAGACGGUGAAUCGAUCACCGUCUCCAAUGUUGUUUAAUGAAGACGGUGAACAAUUCACCGUCUUACCUAGGUAUACCCGAAGCCCCGACACCUCUCCCUCACUCUUCGCUCUCUUUCUCUCUUAACUCUCUGUCUCUCUCUCCCUCCGCACCCCGCCAGUCGCCGCCGCCCAAGCCGACGUCGCCGCCGGUCGCUGUCGACCCACCGAGCCUUCCCCCGUGCCACAGCAACCCACAUUGCAAAUAAUAUUCUAUCUUAGUAAUUUUCUAGGUUUAAACCUAGUUUAACCUAGUUUAAUCUAGUUUAACAAGUAUAAACCCUAAACCCUAAAAUUCCUAAACUAGUUUAGCUACUAUAAACCCUAAACCCUAAACUAGUUUAACUAGUAUAAACCCUAAACCCUAANGUUUUUUUUGAUAUUUUUAUCUUGUUGAUUGUAUCUUGUUAUUCCACUCGUGAUCUUGUGUUUCUUGUUGAAAAAUUUGUUAUCGUGAAAAAACUUGCGUCAAACUUGUUGAAAUUUUCUUUAAAAUCAAGCUUAAAACAGCAGGUGCUGCUGUUUGCACUAAAGACGGUGAACCAUUCACCGUCUUUAGUGCAAAUACAACAAAACCGGAGGAAAAAACGGCUAAGUCCUAGCAUUGGUUUACGCCUAGAUAAGAUGGUAGACGAUUCACCAUCUUUGUUAAGGCGGUGAACGGGUCACCGUCUUAUCUGUGUUUUAGCCCCUCUCUCGAGGACUUGGCGAAAUUAGGCUGGGUGGAGUUUUACACUGAAGACGGUAUCUCUCGAGGACUUGGCGAAAUUAGGCUGGGUGGAGUUCUACACUGAAGACGGUAAACUUGCUCAGAUAAGGCGGUAAACCAUUGACCGUCUUAAGUAAGACGGUGAACAAUUCACCGUCUUAUCUAUGCCCCCCCGCUGUCGGGCGGAUUUGCUGCCAAGAUAAGGCGAUAAACGACUUACCGUCUUUCCUAAAGAGGUAAACGAGUCACCGUCUUCUCUGAAUUGCUGAGAAGGCGGUGAUACGCGGGGAAUUGCUGAGAAGUCACCGUCUGGUUCCACGCCUAGAGAAGACGGUGAACUACUUACCGUCUUCAAGAUUAAAUAAAGACGGUGAACAAGUCACCGUCUUAUUCCAGCAGAGCUGGGCGCCGGGGCCCUGAGAAGGCGGCGAAGUCUACGGCUAGCUAAGGCAGCGGACGAUUCACCGUCUUUGUUUAGACGGUAAACGAGUCACCGUCUUCUCGUCGAAUUACUACAAAGGCGCUGAUACGCGGGGAAUUGCUGAGAAGGUGGUGAAGGGUCCACGCCUAGAGAAGACGGUUAACCAUCUACCGUCUUCAUGAGAAAUUCGCAUAGACGGUGAACGAUUCACCGUCUUUACGAGAAAAAUCCCGCCUGACGCCGACGUGGCGAAAAGAGGGUUAAUUUUACAAAUAAAAUUUUCAGAGGGUUAUUUUGCCAAUUACAAAAUUUCAGAGGGUUAUUUUCGAAAAAAGUCCGUUGCAUAGCGACAAUGUGAAUAUUUUGAAUAGAAAAUACAGGGAAUUUUCGAAAUAUUACACGCUGUAAAAAGAAUGUUCAGUUAAGAGUCUAGCCCCUGAAAAAGCCAAAUAGAUUAAAAGGGAAAAUCUAAAAAACUUAAAUUAAAGGUUGUGAUGUAAAUGCAGGCUACAAAUCAAGAAAAGUAUAACUUUAACAGGAAAAAAAAGAAAAAGGAAAGGAAAACUUAAAAUGCAAUUAGAACACUUGCACUUGAAAAACUUCGGAUACCAACUAAGGAAAGCUACAUUUAUUCAACAUGCCAAAACCCUAAUAGCGAUGAAUGAGGUCUUUAUAUGCCUCUGGAUUCUUUCCAUAGUAAUCAAUCUCAGCCUGCGAAAAAUAGAAAAUAAAAUAAAAGGUUAGAUGUUCAAAUUACCUCAAGCAAAUUCAUUGCAGGAUACGCGAAAGUAAAGAAUAUGAAGCGUCGAUCACGUAAAUUUUUAGCAGCAGUGAAGCUGCUGCACACUUUAAGAAGGUCAAGUUCAUAAUACAAUCUUUUGAUUCACUGUUAUAAUAAUGAAUCUUUCAUCCAAAUAUAAUCCAAACAAUCCAAGUGCCGCAAGCUAGUGCAUUAAACAGAUACGGUUGUUCAAUUACAGAUGCAAGGGUUAAUGACAUUGAAAUGCGAAACAAGGUAUGUAAAAAAAGUAGAUUAAUCUGAGAAUGAUCUUCUCCUAAUGCAGACCAAAUUAGUUAUACAUAACUUUAAAGCAGUAGGUGAAUAAUUAUGGAGAUCUGUGGCUAAAUUCAGAAGUUAAAAGACUUUUUGCUGAAGCCACAAUUUUUCUGAUUUUCUUGCUCUUUUAUGUCUGUCAAAGUAUUUUUCAUUUUAAGUUCGACACAGCAUCUAAUAAAUGAAUGUACCGUAAAAAGGAUAUUACUGUCCAAAAAUGAGGUUAGAAAGUCACAAAGGCCACUUUACUCUAUAAAUUAUGUUCUAUCUUCUCCUAGAAGUCAGUUUGGAGUUAUGUUUGAUGAUGCGGUGGAUGAAGAUGCGCACAAGUAAAAUCUCAUUCGUCACAACCCAAUAGUCUCAUAUCAAAGCGUGGGGAAAGUGGAUGGCUAUACAAAGGACAACCAGAGUAGCAAGUUGGUAUUGGUUACUUGACAAGCCUUAAUCGUAUUGGCUUGUAAUACUUAGUCCAGGUUACUGAUACUAUAUUCUAAUACUCAUCGAAACAAGCUUAGCUAAUGCAUAUAGUAUAAAAAAAAAAAGGGAUAGUAUGCAAAAAUGUCUAGAGAGAGACUUUUCAAUGCUGUAGAAUGUCUUGAAUAAGAGCACUCGUAUGUUUGUAACUAACUUAAGGAUCCAAGACUUUACCUUGCGAAUGCCUAUUACACUAGUCACAAGUUUUUUGCCGAUUAAUUCGUUCAAAAUCUCAUCUCCAGCAAGUGCUUCUACAGAUUCCCGUAGUUCUUUUGGCAGCCGUCUAAGUUUUGAACCGUGGUCUGAAGGAUUUGUUUCUGUUUCAAAAGUUCAGCAAAUAAAUGUGAAUCAAAAAGAUAAACUCUCGAUUAUCCUCCAAACAGGCAGCAAAAGACCAUAACUUGCAGUAGAAAUCCGCGCAACCAUGAAGCCAUCAUACAAGCAUAUAUAAAAACCUAGACUGAAAGGUAUAAUAAUCCUGAAUUGAUGGUGGAUAAAUUUGUAGCCUUUUUUUUUUUAUAGUUUGGGAGAUAUGUCUAGAUCACUUCUUCUGUCGUUGACAUUGAAGAAUAAACAAAUUAUAAUGCAGUUAAGAAAGUGAGAAGAUUGUUGAGUUUACCUCGAGGAUUCAACAGUCUUUCUUACUUAUGAAGAAAACAAGAAAAGGCUACAAAUUUAUCCACCAUCAAUUCAGGAUUAUUAUACCUUUCAGUCUAGGUUUUUAUAUAUGCUUGUAUGAUGGCUUCAUGGUUGCGCNAAUAAACAAAUUAUAAUGCAGUUAAGAAAGUGAGAAGAUUGUUGAGUUUACCUCGAGGAUUCAACAGUCUUUCUUACUUAUGAAGAAAACAAGAAAAGAUAUGAAGUACCAGAAUUAAACAUUACUUAAUAGAUGUACCCCUUCAACCAAUAAUACUAUCAAGAAAUAAACACCAAAUAGCAGAAAUGUUCAGAAUAUUUACAUUGUCUGUUUGGCAGCAUGUCCAAUAAAACAAAAAAGUUCACCAUAUAUCUUAACUAUUUUACGAAAAUGAACCUUACUCUAAAUCUCGAUACCUGACUAUUCUAAAACCUUACUAGUAUUCAGUCACUCUAUUAUUUAUCUCCAGCAGUUCAUUUCCUUUUCUAAUCUUUUAUUCCUAAGGAAAAAUUCACCCAAGAAAUCAACUGGCACAAAAUUGGCAGUCCAAUACGGUCACAUAGGCCAUUUAUUGUGUGUUGAACUAAAUUUAUAUGUCCUGUCAGAAUUUAAUUUCACUCCCAAAAAGUUUUCUACCAUUGCAGUAGUUCAAGAAAUUAUCUAGACAAAAUUAAUCCUACCUUUGUCAAAUGUAACUACACAAGCUCUUAAAUGGGGUUUUUAGUGCAAUAGUCCUCUUCUAAAAUUUUAUUUUAAAAAUAAACCUGUUAAAUUUUUAUUUGUAGAUAUAGUCCUAUAAAAGCGGUGAAUGGUUUACCGCUUUUAAAAGCAGUGAACCAUUCACCGUUUUCUUUCUUUUUCUCACCUCUUUUUAUAAUUCUACGAUGGUAAAAACGGUGAAUGGUUCAACGCUUUUACUGUUUUUCUACUUCUAAACAGAACUUAUGAAUGCGGUGAAUCAUUCACCGCAUUUAAAAGUCUAUUUUUAUAAUUAUUUUUUUAAGAAAACUAUUUUUAUAAUUAUAAAAAUUGAUAAGAUUAGUUAUAAAAAAAAUUCCUCUUAAAUAGCUGUCAAAACUGCUAUCGAUGUUUGACUACUUUAAAGACUAUGAAUUUAGAAUUCUUGGCUUUAAGUUGACUAGCAAUUUGAACAUCAAUUUGAGCAAUCACUCUGCCGCUUACUUUGCUUAAUUGCUUAGAUAUUCAUAGCUAGCAUUUGCACUAUAUUGCAUAUUGCUUUUAUGCCAUAUACAUAGGCCAAUUGGAGAAAAUGAAAACAGACAAAACCUAAGUACCGUAUAGUCUAUAUUAAGCAUUGAGGUCCAGAGAUAGCUAUACCAAUUGGUUCAGGCAAGCUUAGGCCUCUCCUGAGGCCAUCAAUCCCCGCAGCAACUAUUGAAGUGAGUCCCAAGUGUGGGUUUGCGCAACCAUCGAAGGAUUUAAUCUCAAAGUUGCUGACAAGAUCAAGAGGUACACCAGGUGGGCAUGCAGUCCUCAAUGGAGCUUCCCUGUUCUCUUUUCCCCAACAGUGAUAAGCUCCACUCCAUGUAUCCGGCUGAAUUCGAUCAUAACUACACCGACAAAUAAAUAGAACACAUUAAAAAUGAUAAUAAAAGAGAUAGGUCAGUAGAUGAGUACAUGCUUGAGAAACCAAGAAUGAAAUGAUAAGAUCCAAGUAAAAUGCUUCAUGAUAUUGCCAAUAGACGAGUAAAGAGAGACGUCAAUCCGUCAAUUCACAAAUAUUAGGGAUGGACGCCGGAUCACAGUUGAAAUGAGCUUAUAUAUGAGGUUAGCUACCUGUUUGGAAGUGGAGCAGUGAAUGAUAAGAGUGAUGGGAGAUGAUGGAAAACUCCUGCCAAGAACUGUUGUCCAAUUUUUGACAUUCCAUAUCGAGUCUCAGAAUCAUUAGAUCCCAUAAAAACAUUUUGUCCAUUCUCCCACAAACUCAGGUGCACAUGAGAUCCUGAGCCAACAUCAUUUAAGAAACACCUAUAGUAGUACACAAAAUGAAGAAGCAAGCAUUGCAUUAGGUAGUACCCUUUUGGGAGCUGCUAUUGCAUGUUUUAGGUUCAUAGCUCCUAAAUAUAAAAUUCUGUAGAAUGUGCAUGUAGCAUUUAUAAAUAACAUGUGGGACAUGCAGCAAUGGUAGAUACAAAUUACACUGCACAUAAACUGUUUAUUAUGUCAUUUUCAGCAAAGUGUGAUAGAAAUUAUACUCAACAAUAGAAAGGUGGAAGCAGCAUCAUUUCAACUCCUCGUUUACUAAUGUCUUCUUGCAAGAGAGAAAAAGCAUGGGGAAUAUGCACCUUCAAACUUCUUAUUUUGUUGGGUUAUAUUUAUGUGAAUUAAGUUUGGAUGUAGAUGUGAAUAACAUAAAAACCAAGGUUGAAUGAUUUGAAUCACGCUGAUUCAUCAAGAUAUGUGUGUUAGACCUAGGGCUAACAUAAUGUUCUGAAAGAAAUUGUACAUCUCAGUUGUUUUGGACUCGGUGAUGGACCCUGUAAAAUAUAAAAAUACCGUUCUCUACAAGUUCAAGCUAUUAUUAGAGAUAAACGGUGGUUUCAUUUAAUUUAACAUGGCAUCAGAGCAUGAGGUCCGAAGUUUGAAUCACGUCAGGCUUCUUGCAUAAUUGAUUUUCUUCCAUUUAAUUCAAGUCCACAUCACGGGUCUACCAAAAAAUCUUGAGCCUAGACAUGAGGGGUAGUGUUAAAUAUAAGAACAUCAUUCUCUACGAGGUUGAGCUUUAGAGAUAAACAGUUGUUGUAUUUCAUUUAAUAGACUGAUAUGUUGAUAUAUUUACCACUAGAGUCAAUUGACCCCCAAUGUCCCCAAAAAGAAAAACACUCCCCACAUCUAAUGGGCUCUCUUAUGGUUAACCCCACUUAACUAAUUGACCCCACUUUGUUUUAAAAAAUGAGUAAAGCUCACCCCCUUACUCCCAUGUGGCACCAACUAUGUGAUUCCCAAAUCCCAAUAUUAUAAACUUGGAUUCCAAGCUUAAACAAACACCUAUUAAAAUAUAAAGAAAAUAUUUUACAAUUGUUCAUAUUUGCUCUUCAUUUUAUAUUUGGAGUCCGGCUACUAUACUAUUAUGAGUACGAUCGCUCUCGUACUCAUAAGUUGUUUUCAAUGAUAGAGUUUCCGAAUCAAUAAUCCACACCGUUAAAUGUUAUCUAGAGCAUUUAAAACGUUUAGAAAUCAAAUUUUAUAAUUUUUCAACAUCAUUUACCUUACGAUCAAGAGGUCACAAAAUUGACAAUUUUUAACGGCCGGUAUGAGAUACUUGCUAGUUUAACGGUGUAAAAGAAUCCGAAUAGGUAGAAUUUUUGAUAGAAAAUUCUAUUCACUACCUAGAUAAAGAUCAAUAACUCCGAUCUUAAAUUGAAGGAUCCGAUCAUCCAUUUUUAAGACAUCGUUCGAUUUUGACCGUUCAUUUUAUACCCGCUUGAUGAACUUUAUUAUGAUUUCGAAAACUUAUGAAAUUAAUUUUCUAGAAGUUUCAAAUACUCUAGAUCAUAUUUAAUGGAGUAGAUCGUCGAUUCGGAAGCUCCAUCAUCGAAAUCAACUUAUGAGUACGAAGGGCCCAAUACUCAUAAUAGUAUAGUAGCCCUACUCUUAUAUUUGACCCCUCUGAAAAUUUUUCUAGAUCUACCACUGGGUGACACCAUGCAGGCAAUUAGGAAUUCGUUCCCUAUAUCAUUCCGUUAACACUCAUUUCCCUAGCUAUAUCAUUUCAUCAAACAAUGAUCACUACCAAAACUAAAAACCAAUAUAAUAAUGUUGGACCAGUCUUUUUUUUGGUCUUAGGACUUCCAAAUUAAAAAAAAAAAAACAGCUGAUAUCACAAUAAUUGGAUAAAUCUUCAAGAAAUAAAUAACCUACGCAAUUCAUAGAAGGGACUUACUUUGGAACAAAUGUUGCUAAUAACCCAUGUUUUCUCGCAACAGAUUUUAUAACUUCACGAGCGUAGAUCAAUUUAUCAGCCGCAAGAAUGCAUGAUGCAUGCUUUAAUGCAAUUUCAAAUUGUCCUUUCCCGGCUUCCGCAUGCAGCUGUGGCAUGAUAAAGAUGGUUAGAUAUGAUAUAUGCACAGUACACAAAUAUUCGCAUGCAAGAAGCUUAGUUAAGGUCAGCUUUGCUCUCAAAACAAGAAUAAUUUGUAUAAAAAUUUAAAAUUUAGCAAUCAAAUUAUGUCAUUACCUGCAGAAUUUCAUUAUACUUUUUUUUUCCUUCGAGAAUCAGGAGAUUGGCCCCCUGAAAUCAAACCCCAAGUUCCCCUACAUAGGGAAUCAAAUCCAAAAACCCACCCUUCCGCAUCCAUGCCUUAUCACUGGGAAACUUUUUGGUUUGGCGUUUGGUAUUUUAUAGAUGAUUUUGAAUUUGUUGUUUUCCCUCUCUCGAAAUCCGUUAAAGAAAAUAAAAGAUUAUGUGCUAAAGCCACAGGAUCUAUGCAGUGUAAUGUUGUGAAUCUGAUAGAGAAUAUUGUGAAACCAAAAACAAUCAAAAGCGAAACAUAAUACAUCAUGUAUUGUAUAUAUCUUCAUGAUUUAUCACUAGAUUGAUCAGAUUUAUAGUGUACAAUUUUAUGAAAAUCACCCAGAAAGCUAUUUCAAAAAUUCCAUUAAUCAGUGGAUGCAAUUGAUCAAACAGAAGUUGCCAGAUCUCUCAAUGCCCUGCAUGUGCUAGGAACUAAUGAAGAGGAAAAUACAAAAAACAAAAAUAAAAGACAAUAAUAACUUAGCUAUUAGUUGCAGAUCACAGUAAAUCAAUAAUAGAUACAUAUGUAAAGCAAAUAAACAUAAUACAACUAUUACCUGGUCAACUGAAAUAUCCAAGGAUUGAAGAGCAGCAUUUAUUUCUCGUAAAAUUGGAGAUGCCCCGUCAAAUGCUGAUGUGGAACAGUAAGGGGUCAAAUCAAAUGGUACCCACUUUUCAUGCCCUUCACUGCGUAUAUUUUUUGAAAAGAUUAUGGGGGUGAAAUGACAUAUUCAAAAAACACAAGGAGACUGAUAGAAGAGCACAGGUGAAGAUACCUUACUACUUUCCUAAGGAUAUAAAAUUCAUUUUCAAAGCCUGCAUUGAUCGACUGCAAGAAAAGACACACAAAAGAUUAAUACAUCUGGAGGAUAAAAUCAACAUAUGAAUUACUUAUAUUCAUGCAUACCAGAUUAAAUUCAUCAUAUAGAAUCUUUGUAACUUUUCUCAAGGUACUUCUAGGGCAGUACUCCCAUGCUUCACCAGGCUUUAUGUGCAUGUCGGUCAAUACCAUUUCCUCUUCUUUUGACCUGACGGAGAUGAUAAUCAAUUACUACAACAUACCAAUGCAUAUCCAACUGAUAGGUUCACAUUGAGAUUAUAUUAUUUCAUGGUUGAUACACACAAAAAAUGGUAAAUUCACUGUCUGAGCUCAAAAAACUGUUUUAACUUUGUGUCUUCAUACAAACCAGAAAAGCAUCAGUAAAGAGAAGUACAUGACUAUUCUUUUUAUACAGUUGCUAUGUCAAAUCAUGUUGUUCACUCAUAUAAAACAUAGAAUCAUGGGGAUUCACGGGCAAGAAUCGAUCCUCCACAACAUAGUGGGCAAUAAAACACAGGAUAUAUUACCCACUAUGUCAUACCACUGAGACUCUGGAUGUUUCAAUAUAUGCAGCACCACAAUACACUUAAUGAGGAUUGAGGGUGUACCAUGACCAAGGAAGAUGUUAGGUGGAUUUGGGGCUGUCUACUUUUGGAACUCACUGAGAGUUUGAAGGGAUAUUAAAAGAACUUCAAGAAUGCCAAAAAAACAAUAAAAAAACUUUAUUACAUAUAAAUUGCAUGAGAUUUUGAUUUGAAUCAUAUAUUCAACUCAGCCUUAGUCCCACUCUAGCAGCGAUUUCUAAAUGCCUCAAAAAAUUAAGUGGGAUUCACCAAAGAAUCAUGUAUUGCCGUUUUAUCCUAUCUUGAGCUAUCUUUCUCCACAGGGUGAAAUCUUUUCUUGUCAACUCUAACAUCUACUUGCAGCAUCCCUAUAUUCCUUUUUUCCAAAUCACUUACAGGAAAUUUUUACUUUUGCCGAUAGUCGCACUCAUAUCUCCCCAUUAUAUCGGUCAUAAGCUGUAAGAGAGAACAUCUUCAAUUUCCUAGCAUUCGAAAAUAUUUUAGAUCUCACUGAUUUAGGAUUUCAUCAUGCGUUUCACUGAAUAAACAUUAUGAAAGUAUAGGUUAGGUUAACCAAUUUAUUAUUCCAUGUAGCAGGACAUGCAAAUAGAAAGGGACAAAACAAAGAACAAGAAUAUCAUAAAACAUUAUUUAAUCACUGAACAGCAUUGAUUAUGCACAAAUGUCAAUAAGUCAUAGAAAAAGAUCUGCACGGAAAAGAAACAAAGAGGAACUAAUUCCUGAACUAGAAUGUAGGAAAAAGAAGAAAAAUUACCAUGGGAUCCUGCAAAGCGUUGAUAAAUCCGGCAUAAGUCUGAUCUCACCCACAGCUGUAAGGUUGGUUCCAUCUGCUGGACCAUCACAAAAUGAGCUCAUUGCCAUUGAACAUUGAGUUAAACCAACACCAGUAUUCUUCACAACCUCAUAGAAUCGUUUUGAUGGAACAACCUGAGAGCUAACGGAUUAGUACAAGUAUAAAUUAUUUGUUCUGAUUCUCAAGUUGUAACCACAUAGUGAGAACAAUUGUGAUUGGAUAAUGACAAUCAUAAACUUCAUGUUGUGAUGGUCCGGUUUCUGGGUAAAGAAUAAACAAAUCAAUAGAGUAAAGAAUAGAAGUUUAUGCAUGUCAUCAUAUUGGAAUCAUAAACUUUUUGCUUCUCUAAAUUAUCAAAAGGAAUUAAAUCAACACCUAUAUUCUUCAUAACUUCUAGUAAUACUUAUACUAGAAUUUUUUACAAAAAUUACUAAUUACUAAAUUGUGAAACAACCGUUGUACUCUAAAAGCUUAAACCGUUAGAGAACGGUGAAUUUUUUAAUUUAACACUCCCCCUCACGUCUGGGCUCGAGACUUUUUGCAAAGCCCAUGACAUGAACUUGAAUUAAAUAGAAGGAAAUUAAUAAUGCUAGAAGCCUGGCAUGACUUGAACUUAGGGUCUUCUGCUCUGAUACCAUGUGAAACAACUGUUGUACUCUAAAAGUUUAAGCUGUUAGAGAAUGGUGAAUUUUUAUAUUUAACAUAAAAGAAUAGUGAAUGGAACUACUACAAAGAAUACAACUCAUUGUAAAGGAGCAAUAGAAUAUACUCACACGACAUCGGUGUUGGCCUGAAGCAUCAACCCAGAUAACUCGAACAAAUACUGUAUCUUUGAUUGAAAUAUUAGAUUUUAGUGUGUUCUCAAAAGAUUUGGUACAAGAAUUAUUUAUAGAUCCAACAAUUCCAUUCAACUUGUAGAGCUGCAAUGCAUUAUUUCUAAAUAUAUCCUCCACCGCUUCAAUAGCCUCUGCAAUAGUUAGAUCGCCAUCAUCACAUGCAGUUGACAAAACACUGAAAACAACAUCACGGGCCCAUUUCGCGCCUGCAUGAUUUGGUAAAAUACAGUAAACCACAGUGAAGCUAAGAAUACAUAAACAUUUUUUUUGCAAGAAAAUCAUUUGAGAUUAUCAAAGAUUUUUAUAUUAAAAAUUUUCUAUGUAGAAAAUAGAAAGAAGAAAGAAGUCCUUAAUUACCAAUCAGACUCUCGAAGUAGAUCCUUAGUUUUUAUGUACUUACAUUUUCAACCAUUACAAUAGAGUAAUAGGCCAAUUUACUCUAUUUUUUAGACAGCUCUGCUUUUUUUUAGUUGCCUGUUUAGAAGGUCCAACAACCUAAAAAAAUUACUCUGUAAAUAGAGCCAUACAUCAUAACUUUUGGGGAGGGGGGGGGGGAGUUCAGAAUGUCUGUAAAAUUUUUUCAUGUUCAUCGGACUCACCAUCCUACCCCCUUUGACACUUUCUCCGCACACUCCCGUCGCCCUCUUUCUCAAUUCCUUUAAGCACUCUCUACCCUUCUCCUUCUCCAUCUCCUCAUCCUCCUACCACUCCUCCAAAAUAGUAGCUCCGAUCGGCUCCCUCCUACAUGUUCUCGCUCAUUCUCUCUCUCUUGGCCCUACUCUCUCCAUCUUCUCUCAAUCCAAAACCCUAACAUUUCAAAAAGAUAAGAUCACUUUUUUUUUCCAAAUAACUCAUCCCACAUCCUUCUUCUUGACCCCUACAUCCUUCGCCACCUCCCCUUCCUUGACCAUGUCGCCGACGCCUAUAGGCUUUCCCACUAUGUUGAUUGCGCUCCCUUCUACCUCCCCGGUGCCCUCCAUCGCCGCUGCCGUCCGACCUCUUACUCUUCUUCUUCUACCUCUACUAUCUCCUCCUCAAGAUUGCAACGUUUUUCCUCAUUGUCGACUACCACAGUCACCGCCUAUGGGUGCUCCCACUCCUAAAUAGGACACCGGUGGGUUCUUCAUGUUGGGUUGUCACGGUGAAAAGUAGGGACAAAUGUGGGAGGGAUGGAAGGCAAUGGAUUUGAGCCGGGAGGAGAAAGUGGUCGGGGUGGGUUUGAGCAAGGAGGAAGUGGUGGUGGUGGUGGUGGUGGUGGUGAUAGGCUGUUUUUUCACAUUAAUUUUUUUUUUUUUCAGGUUUAAGCCAAAUACUAAAAAAUGGGAUAAAAAAUUAUGGAGUAUUAAGAUUUUGAUACCAAUCUAUUACAACAAAAUAUAAAAUUAUUUUUAAUUUCUACAGUUGCCAAACAGGCCUUAUACUAAGUUGUCAAACAGUCCUGCCAAAUCAAACAAUAAUCAAGAAAGACCAGAGACAAAUAUGAUGAACAAUAGGACGUGAUGGAUUUGUAUUAGUAUUGUUAGUUAAAUGAUGGGGCUUUCAACAAAUUCAAUAGGUUUACAGUAGCCACUAAAAAGUGAUGAUUUAUUUUAACAUAUCAAACCAUAUAGAAGUUACAUGUUGUCGAAUGAGUUAGCUACUAAUCCACUUACCACUCAAUUUUGCUUAUGUUUGAUAUACCAUAGCUCUGAUUCCAGUGUAAAUUGAGAAGUUCUUUUAUAGUUUUGUUCUGAUUCCAGUGUGGAUCAAGAAGUUCUUUUAUAAUUUCGUAAAUAAACUAUAAAAGAAAUUUGUCAUUUUAUGGUUGAUACUUAAUGAAGAUAGUCUAAGGCAAUCAUUCUAAUUCUAUAAAAGGUUGCUUAAACUUACAACAUGAAAGAGUACAUUUAAGUAGCAACCUUUAUCAGCAUUGUCAUCAACAAAACCAACAUCAUUCCAGCCUUCUCUCAAUGUUUCUUCACAUACGAAUUAUUUUCGUAUAUUUCACUCAAAAAACGUAAAAGUAACACUUCAUAAAUUACCAAAAAUGCAACUUAAAUCAGCCCAAACAGAACUGUUAUAGCUGACAAUUUUCUGAACUAUUGUAUGCUCUCAAUUCUGCUAUAAUUUCAAAAGGCAAUAAUGACAGGCUUUUUCAUCCCAUGCAAUGAUAUUAUUAUGUUAUGCGACCAUUAUGAUAUGGAAAAGAAUCUUUUUUUCAAACAUACCAAGGUAGAAAGUUUCAGGAAAAGCAUAGCCAUCAGUGCUGAACAUCACCUGUACAAGGAAAAAGUUAAGUAGAUCUUUUGAUAAUCUCACGUUAAUUAAAACGAAAAUCAGUUUACACACAAAAUUGACUUUUGCCACAUAACAAUGACCGUAAAAGAGUUCAUAACUUCUUAUGUUGGACUAAACUUUAAUAAUAUGCCAGCAAUCAAUGAUUACUGACCAAGUUUACCCUUCCAUAUAUGUCAGGGGCCAUUCUCCCAAAAUUUACUUUAUCAUUUACUUUCAUGUUGAUCAUUAUAGCAUUUUUCACACUUAGUUGCUAAAGCCAAUAAUACAAAUUGAAAAGUAGUGAUGGUUAAUACUUGGUAGCAAAGGUUUGUCGUGCCAUGGCUUCAAUAUUUGAUAAUAUGGAUAGUCGAAUUCCGGUAGUAAAGUUGACUUAUGGAAUUUCAUCAAUCUUCAAUAAUAAAUAGGCCGUAAUUUGCAUUAGAUAGGUGCCCAAGCAUUCUGUUAAUAGGCAGAUCAUAUUACUCGGAGUAAUGCAAUUUUUCAAAAUAGGGCUCUAAGGGAAAUGUCAUAGAAGAUAUUUCAAGAAGCACAACAAUGGUAAUAGAUAGUAGAGAUAUCCCGGGAUCGAACAAAAUAAUGCAUGGAAAUCAUUUUUCACAUAAUUCAUAUGAAAGACAUGCCCUAACAAGUAUAUUCUUCAGCUUCUCAUUGGUACUGAAAUAAAUCACAGAAGAAAGUAAUUCCACCUUUUUCAAAGGCGCUAGCUCUAAAAGUUCUUUGACUGAAGAGAUCAUUCCUUGGACACUAAGCUUCGGAACCGCCAAACCAAAAUCAAGGUAGACCUAUUCAUGAUGAUUUAAGAAUGGUUAAAAUAAAUUGUUGUAAAUUAUUGGAUAACAAAGAACACAUCAAAACAACAAACCUGCGAGUAAACUGAAGCAAGAUAUGAUGCUUCCUUUGAAAAUGGAUAAGAAGCAUGUAAAAGAACAAUUCGAGAUCUAGAAAAUCUUUCGUCCUCAAGAACACGCCGUAGAUGAAGGGGAUUGGACUUUCUCAGAUCCAAGUCCUUGUCUCCAAAUCUGAAUCAAAUGUAGAGUUAGAAUUAGUUUGCUUUGUAUGAAAGAAUUGAAGGCACGGAGUUAAAACUCUUUAUCCGAUCUGUUAAAGCACAGUCUAGUCUAACAAUAAAUAAAUACUAGGGAAAACUUCAAAAACCCCUCCUAUGGUUUCGCACUUUAUCACUUUAGUACGCUGUUGUUUAAAGUGUAUCAAUUUGGUGCCCUGUGGUUUCAUUUUUCUCUUUUUAUUAUCAAUUUCACUAUUUUUUUUCUUCUUAAAUCAGUGACAAAGUUAAAAUUAAAGGGUACUAAAGUGAAUAUUCGAUAAAUCUAGGUGGGUAUCUAAAGUUUUUUGUAUAUAAUUUAACGAAAUAUUAACGAAAAAGCUGCCGAAAAGAUAAAAAUGAAACCACAGGGCACCAAAUUAAUACACUUUAAACCACAGGGUACUAAAGUGAGAAUGUGCGAAACCAUGGGGAGGUUUUUGAAGUUUUCCCUAAAUACUAUGAUUUUACCAAACUGCGUCAUCCAGCAUUGUUUAUACUUUUUAUAAACAGAUGAAAUAUUCACGGUUUGAUCAAACAGGAAAUUUUAAUGCUCUAGCUAAUUUAAUAGAAUGUUUUAUGUGUCAUUACUUACUAAUCAAAUUUAAAAUUUGUGGUUCUCUCUGUUAGCGGAAGAUAUAUAACUAGAGGGCUAAAACUUCGAUUGGAAAACAUAACUUAAAAGAAGAAACUUCUUAUAAUUGGUACCCUGUAUGAAUUUGUAUUGGCAAGUCAAAGGAUAGAGCAACCUCCAGGCUACAGGUGAAUAAGUAAUCAAUGAAGCUCUUAUCGGUUAUGCGAAUAGGCUUCGCACCUGAAAUAUCCAUAUUAAAAGAAUCAUAUUUAGAUCAAUCACUUAUACUAGGAGUUAAAUUAGUCAAUUAUGUAGCACAUGUUCUUACUUACCACUUAACUCUUGUUGAAGGCCUUCUUCAGCUUCAAUCUUACUAACUUCUGGGUCUAUCUCUAAUCCGCUUCUAUAAGCAGCUAUGCUUUUCAUCGCGACAAUUUUAUCAGCAACUGUGGCAAACAGGUUCAGGAAAUGAAAGAGAAAAGAAAACUGGCAAAAAGUCGGAAAAUUAUAGAAGGCAUCCAAAAAGUUCGAGAGGAUAUGAUUUCAUCUUUGUCAGAAAAGUUUGGGUGAACGAAUCUAUCGUCCACUUUGAUCCACCGAAUGCCUCCUGAAAAGUAGUAAAAUCACUUAUUAGAAUAUUCUUCAACUCAGAAAAGAGAUAUUCCUGCAGAAAUGAUAAAUUCAAGAAGCUAUGCUAGCACUCAAAACUAGCCCAACAAAAAAAAUUAACAUCUUUUAGAAGUCCAAAUAUCAACAAAGUCUCUACCUAAUUUUAAGUUAUUUGGUAGACUUGCGAUAAUGCUAUUUACUUAAAAUAUGAAACUAAUGAGAGCUUCAAUUCACAAACUUCUGAUUCUAAUAUGAAGGAAAAAAAAAACAAAUAUUUGCUCAAAGUUUAGAUGAUGAAAACGGAAAGUACUCACAUCAUUAAGAAUGGUUUCCGCCAAAUGUUCGAUUCUUAAAAUUCUGCCCACUGCAGGAGCAAAAGAACUGUGCCACUCCCAGUCAUGCAUUUUGUCAAACUGGAUACCAUCAUCUAAAAAGAUUGCAGAUAAAUUGGCCGCUUUGAAGCAUUUCGAACUAAUUGAAACUAAUCCAGCAGAUUUUCUGUGGUCUUCCACUUUAUCCAACGAAGCCUCGCAGUUGUACAGUUGAGCAAUUUCCCUUAAGCUCCUCUGCAAAUAAUGCAAUUAGAAAAGUAUAUUGAGUUCCACAGAUGACUAUUUCUUUGGCUAAAUGCUGUAUGAACCAUGACUCAUCAUUCAUGCAUCAAUUCUCCAUAUAAUAUGAAGGAGAUGUCCCUUAAGACAAUCUAAAUUCUGAAGUAAAGCAUUUGAUGUGCAACUUCAUCAAGUAGGAGGAGUUGACGAAGGGAAGGGAUGAACCGAAAUUUUUUGCACCGAAGCAGUUAGAGUAAUACCGAAGCCCUCGGAUUAAAAUAAAAUGAGAAAGGGCGGGAAAUUGACAGGGCUAAAUGACUUGAAAGUUCAAGUGAAUCACACACCCCUCGAAAAUCUGAAUCAGUAAGAUUCCACAGUAACUGAUAAACAAGCUCUUAAUGGUUUGAUACCGUUUUCUCUUCUUCUUUUUUCUUUUUUAGUUUCUUUAGUUCUGCUUUUAACCUCAAAUUUCAUCCAGUUGAACAGGCCAGCUGAAAGUAAAUUGUUUCAAUGCAUUUUAGCUUUUCCUAAAGAAGAUGCUGUACACCGCGUCGGCUUGUGAGCUAACAAUCAAUAACAUGGAAAAGUCCGGAAACAUCUGUAAACCUCACACAUACUAUCAUACCGAACUUACUGAACUUAAAGUUUAAAAAUCACAAUAACUAAAUCCAAGUUCCAAAUAAGGUGUAAACUUUCGAUUCAGAUAUAAUCUUAGUCUCAUCUAAGCCUCAAGGUUCGAGAUAAACGAGACAAGCCAACUCCGACCAGGUAAAACACAAUGUUUUUACAAUUCUUUUGGGUUAUGAUCACUAUCAUCGCGUAGCCUCACGAACUAAUCUUUUAUUUAGAAAGUGUUAGUGUGUGUAUUAUUAUUUAGAUUAGUGCACUCGAACUAUAACAGAACGCAAUAUGAAUAGUGUUGUUUACAUAUUCAGAUUUAUUGUUGAUAAAUAGAUUUAUUGACUGAUUAAUUUUGCCCAGGUUAGAGGAACAUGAUUUGACAAACUAGCAAAAGAUAACAGUGUCAAAACUAUUUUAUGACUCGACAAAGCAUUUAAUGCGAUCGCACCCGAAUCAAGCCUCGCCACGUGAUCGGAUCCGAGCCCAAGUACACGGGGCGAUCUAAUUCGAUACGAUACGAUACGAUGCGCUCAACGUGGCCCAGCUCACUCGGAGGUGAGAAAACAGAGUGUCUAAGUACACCGUGUGUAAUCGUACCAAAGUACGCUAUACAAAGGUUUUUUUUUUACAAAAAAAGGCUAAAAAAUGGUAUAAUUAUUAAUAAAUAGGUUUAUUAUCAUCUUAUCAGCAGUUAAAUAUUUUAAUUUCCUUCACUAAAAUCAUGAAAUUCAGAAUAAGUGAAGUUAAAAUUAAAACCAAAAAAAAAGCCAAUGUAGGAAAAAAAAAAAAAAAAAAAAAAAAGGAAGAGUUAAAGAGCGUAAUUUUUCUCACACAUAUUUAUACUUAAAAAAAAAAGAGAGAGAAAUGAUUUAGAGGAUCUAAGUUUUGUCAAAAUUCUAUUAAGAACAGGGAAAAAAAAAAGAAGUAGAUUAUAAUGACUAGUGAUUGUAGAGCAUAUUUAACUUAAAAGAUGAUUUAUCGUAUUACCUUGAAGGAGAGGGAAUGGGGGGCGAAGGAGAAGAGGGCGUCGCCGUCGGCCUCGGAGAAGCAUCGGAGGAAGGGGAAGGCGGAGUCGACGGCAGCCAAAUUGUGGGCGUGGGCGUCGACCGCCGGCACCCCGUCCACCGCCGCCCUCAGCUGUCUGUACUUCUCCGCCAUCGCCAAAAGUCUCUCUCCCGACCGCCCCGCUCUCCCACUCUCUCCUGUCUGUUUCUUUUUCUUUUUCUUUUUCUUUUUCUUUUCACACUUACCGUUGACAAUUGCAUUUGGAGUGAGCCCUCUUGAAAGUGAAUAAUAAUUAGGGCCUGUUUGAAUGCUCACUUUUUGGGGUUUUUUUGCAUUUAGUCCCUGACAAAUUUUUAUUUUAAAACUAGUCCUGUCAAAAUUUAAUUUGCAAAAAUGGCCCUGGGCCUGCCACGCAGGCGCCACGUCAGCGCCACGCGGGCGGGGCCAGGGCGAAUGUAUUAAGUUAAACACGGUGAACCAUUCACCGUGUUUAGACACGGUGAAUGGUUCACCGUGUUUACUACGUAUAUUUUAUAUGUUGAAAAGAGGAAUAGGGAGUAGGGAUGUCAAUAGAUAUGGAUAUCCGAAAUAUUAUCCGAACCNGGAUAUGAAUAAGGGUAUGGAUUUUGUAUUUAUUUGACCCGAACCCAAAUCCGAAUCCGAAUAAAUUAUAUAUAUAUAAAAUUUAUUUUUAUUUAUUUAUAUAAUAUAUAAAAUAUUUAACAGCUUUAUAUAAUAUAUAAAAUAUUUAACAGCUGGAUGAAGAUCUAAGGAACGGUUAAAUAUUUUAUAUAUUGUAUAAAUAAAUAAAAAUAAAUUAUAUAUAUAUAUAUAUAUAAUUUAUUCAGGUUUGGGUUCGGAUAAUAUUUCGGAUAUCCAUACCUAUUAACAUCCUUAUUUCCUAUUCCUCUUUUCAAUAUAUAAAAUAUACGUAGUAAACACGGUGAAUCAUUCACCGUGUUUAGACACGGUAAAUGGUCCACCGUGUUUAACUUGACACAUUGGCUCUGGCCCCGCCCGCGUGGCUCUGACGUGGCGCCUGCGUGGCAGGCGCAGGGCCAUUUUUACAAAUUAAAUUUUAAAAAGGCUAUUUUUAAAAUAAAAAUUUGCCAGGGGGCUAUAUGCAAAAAAAGCCCUCACUUUUUUGGAGUACAAGUGCUUCUUUUCUUUCUCUCUUUCUUUUCUUUUUUUUUUCUUUUUUUUUGGGGGGGGCAUUUAGCCCCUUAGGAAAAAAAAAAUAAAAAUAAAAAAUAAAAAAUAAAAAAUUCACAAAUAACUCUAUAAAAUCUAUAUUUAUAAGACCGGUCAUAUCUCUGUCAUACAAGUGCUUCGUGAUCGCUGAAUAAGUUGAACACGAUGAAUAUUCAUCGUGUCCAAAUAUGAUAAAUAAUUCACCGUGUUUAACCUAAACUUAUACAACAUAUAAACAUAUAUAAUACAAUAAAUACGGUGAAUCAUUAAUCGUGUCUAAAUACGACGAACAGUUUAGCGUGUUCAACUUAACCUGGGCAAUCAGUCACGCUCAUGUGUCAUUUGCGUGGCUCUUGUACGGCGAGAAUAGAGACAAUCUUGGAAAUAUAAAUUUUAUUGGAGUACUUAUAAAAAAAAAUUAUAAAAAGACUAAAUACAAAAAAAAAACCUCUAAAAAUAAAUAAAUUAAUUAAUAAAUAAAAAUAUAUGUAGAGCCCUUAACUAUUAGACAUUUUGAAAUUAGUUUUGCUGCUUGAAUACAAAUUUAUGAGGCCUAAAUGUUGCACCUCAUUUAUUUAAAGACAAUUAUUUUUUUCACUGGUCAUUAAUUAUUUUCCAACUAAAAAGCAAAAAGGUUUAUAAAAUAAUAUUUUAAAAAUCGAGCGGAACAACAAUUCAAAAAUAUUACUAGAUUAAGAUAUUAUUGAAUUAAGAGUUACUGGUUCAAUCACUAGUUAAACAGCAUGUCAUUAUAAAUUUUAUAUAAAAAUAUGCAUAUAUUGUUAUUCUAUUAUCAUAUUUAAUUUACCAAUUUGCAUAAAAAAAUUAUUAGUUUUGAGCUUUUGCAAAAGUAGGCCGUCUUUUUGAAUUUUACAGAUUCAGUCCGAAUUUUUAGAAAACUGACUAAAAUACCCUUAUUAUCUUUUCUCUUUCCUUUUUUUUUCAUUCUUUUUUUACUUUCCCUCCAAAAAGGGCAAUAGAAGUUUUUUGUCUCAUUCUUUUUUUACUUUCCCUCCGAAAAGGGCGGUGGAAGUGAAAGUGGAAGUCGAAGCAGAAGUGAAAGUGGAAGUCGAAGCAGAAGUGAAGGCGGAGGCGUAGGCGGAAGCAGAGGCCGCCCGCCUCGCCUUUAUCUUGCACACCCUCGCCCGCACACCCUCCCUCCACCUUACUCGCCUCCGACCCCACCGAGGCCACGUCUCGAUACUUCUUUUUUUUUUUUCCUUUCUGACCCUCCUUUACCGUCUCCCUGGCUCUUUACAACAGUAAAGAAGGCAGCAUUACCUCCUCUUCCUCUCCUUUAUUUCUCUCGUUCUUGUUUUUCUCUCUUCAACCCCCAUCUACCACUUCCACGACCCUCCACACAGUAACAAGGACAGUGCCGCAUCUACUUUCCCCGCUUUUGCCAUAGCAGACACCGACACCGGUGUCAGAAAAAGAAGACUCGGAGCGAGUGCAGGUGAGAGCGGAGCCGAGAAAAAAAAUAUGUAGACAAUAAAGAAUAAAAAGAAUAAAGAAUGAAAUAUAAAAAAAAAAUUAUUUCUACAAGAAAAAUAAAAAAAUCAAAGAGAAAAGAAGAAGAUGAUAAAUUUGCACUGUUUCACGGGAAUGUUGCGCUGUUUUAGAAAAAUAUUACACUAUUUAGAGAAAUUUGUAGUGUUUGAGAGAAAAUAUAUAUAUAUUUUUAGAUGAAAGUUGCAUUUUUUAAACAAAAAUUGUAUUCUUUAAACAAAAAUUGCAUUAUUUGGACAAAAAGUACACUAUUUUUCCUCCUUCUCAUCUCCACUUUCUGUCCAAAUAGUGCAAUUUUCAUUCAAAGAAUGCAAUUUUCAUCUAACAAAGUAUAUUUUUUCUUAAAGAGGAUAAAUUUUCUCAAAAAUAAUGCAACGCUCCCCUGAAAUAGUGCAACGUCCUCUAAAAUAGUGCAAAUUCAUCAUCUUUUUUUUUUUCUCUCUGAUUCUUUUUCUAGUAGAAAAAAUUAUUUUUCUUUAUAUUUUAUUAUUUAUUCUUUUUAUUUUUUUUGGCAUAACCCGCACUUGCUCCGAGUCUUCCUUCUCCAGCACUGGCGUCGGUGCCUGCGCUGGCGAAGGCGAAGGAAGAGGAUGCGGUGCUGUCAUCAUUACCAUCAUGGAGGGUCGCAUGGCGGUAAAGGAGGCUUGAAGAAAAAAAAAAACGAGAAAAAAAAAGGACAGGAACAGGACAUGGCGUUGCCCUCUUUACUAUUGUAAGGAGCUAGAUAUGCGGUGGGGGAGGGUCAGAAAGAGAAAAAAAAAAAAGAUGGUCGAGGGGCGGCCUUAGCGGGAUCGGAGGCGAGGAAGUCGGAGGGAGGGUGCGCGGGUGAGGGCAAGGGCGAGGGCGAGGACGCGCUGGACAGAGGCGAGGCGGAACGUCUCCGCCUCCGCCUCUGCCUCCGCUUCCGCUUCCACCACUCUCUUGGAGAGAAGUGAAAAAAAAAAAAAAAAAAAAAAAAAGAGAGAAUAAAGAUAUUUUUGUUAGCUUUUUAAAAAUCCGAUCCGAAUUUGAAAAAUCCAAAAAAGUGGUCUAUUUUUGCAAAAACUGAAAACUAAUGAAUUUUUCAUACAAAUUGGCCUAUUUAAUUACAAAAUAUUUAUUUUUAAACUAAAUUAAGUAGACAUAAGUUUUCACAUUUCACUUUUUAUGAGACUAAUAUGAGGUAAUAGAAAAUAAAAUCACUAAGUUGAUUUAAGCUGUUGGAUUUUAAGAUAACUUUGAUAAAAUAAUAAUAAUAAUAAUAAUAAUAAUAAUAAUAAUAAUAAAAGAAGCUCAGCCAAUUUGAUUAAAACCCAACAUGCAAUCGGUUCAUUGGUUAAACCGCUGGUUCAACCAAUUUAAAAGUAGAAUUUUGACUUAUUCUCUUCAAAAGGUUGAACCUAGGCCGAUCACAAUCGAAUCGAUCAAACUACUAGUUCGAUCUUAUUUUUAAGUCAUUGGUUAUAAGCUCUAAAAGGCUUAAUUACACUAUUUUAUAUUGUAUUUUACAGAUUUUUUAUUUUCUACAUUGUAUCUUAUUUUCUUAAAAGUUCCAUUAAACUUUUUUUUUCAAUCACUAUAAUAUAAGUAAUAAACUUAUAAUUUUAGAUGAAAAUUGUUAAAAAAUACUAGUUAAAAAUGACAAAAUAUAUAUUCGGCUUGUAUUUUACAUAAAAAAUAACAAAAUAAAUAUAAAAAAAAUUGAAACUAACUUGGUAGAAACUUUUUAAUAAAUCUAUCAUGUAUGGAGAUUUAUUUUAUAUUAUUCAUGUUAUUUAACUACUGUCUCUUAAUAAAGCAGUUGAUUUAUCUAAAAUAAUAAAUUUAUUAACAAUAAUAUAAAGAUUAAUGAGAAAAAAAUUAUUUAAUGAUAAAUAUAUAUAUAUAAAAAAAUAAAGUAGUACAUGAUAAAAAAAACGUAAAUUACCCUACUGUGUAGACAUAAUAAAAUAGAGUAAUACUACAACAGAAUUAGGUUAUAGGGACACAUAUUUGGGACACUUUUGAGUAAGUGUCCCAUUUAUGAUAAAACUUAAAAAAAUAUAAUGCAAAAAUGCCAUAAAUAUAAAGCCCAAUCCAACCAAAAAUAAAAGAUUACUCUACUCAACCCACCACACCGAAUCCAUUUAGCCCGAUUACAAACAGAAAAGAAAAAAAAAAAGAAAAAUCAAUUGCCAUCUUUUCUUCUCUCUUCACUCAAUCCACUGAAAUUUUAGACGAAGAGCCUUUCCUGUCGUCCUCCUCCGCCACCGCAGCCAACGAGAUAGAGUUUCGGUGGUUGCUAAAUGCUUAAAAAAGUGUUGGUAAAUUAGCAGCACUCUUUUAGGUUAUAGCGACACUCUUUAACUGUCACUAUAUACCUAGCGACCCCACAUAUAGCAACACUUUUUAAAAGUGACGGUAAUUUUAGCUAGCAAUACUUUUUUAACAUAUACCUAUAUUUAAAAGUGUCGCUAUAGAUCGUUUUUGUUGUAGUGAUAAUACAAUAAUAUUUUAAGAAAAAAAAUAUAUAUAAUAUAGCAAAAG